rnacentral:lncRNA from 1 species
UAACGUGCCAUCUAGAUAUGGUAUCUACCCUAGGUACUAUAGUACACCCAGUACCAUUACCACCCUUGGCGGUGUCUUGUAAUGAGUUUUAACAGUAUAGUGGUUCGGAAGUUAAAAAUAAGCUCAUAUAUUAUCAUAUGUGACAUGUGAAAUUUGGGGUGAAAUAAAUAGAAAUAAAGUUGUCUUUCAUAUUUAAAUACCAUGCCUCUAUAAGGAUAUAUCCUAGUACAUUGUCGUAACUAAUUACCAUCAUCGGUACUCUACAAUUUUACUGUGUUCUUACAUUCGAUCCGAAGCUACUUUGUUUUUAAGAUAUAAAUGGAGCGUAUAAAGGAUGUCCGUCCUUUCAUUCCAAUAAGAACAAUGUAACAUCCUGAAAAUGUGUCAUUUUCUAAUCCUGCAUCAUGCCGACUCUUAUGUUUUUAAUAACCUCCUAAACUUAGGAUAAUAUAAUUAGAGGGACCUCCUAAAACUAACUUGCACAGAAUCCUUAUGCGGUAUUUAAUUUCUUUUGUGUUUUCAUUUAAAAUAUAUUUGGUUAAAUUGAGGUAUUUCUUGAUUUGGUUUAAAACCUUCUUUUGACUAAAAUUCUUUUAUUCAAAUUUAUUUUGAAAACCCCUUUCUAUUUUUAUGAAUUAUGGUCCAAGAAAUUCUCCACUAUUGUCCUAGAACCCAAACCAAACGAUUCCAAUUUUAUUGGAUUUAAUUGUCGACCCAUCCUUUGAUUUUAAACCUAUCCUUUAAUUCCAAACCUAUUCUUAUUUGUUGCCAAAUAUCUAAAUUCUUCCUUUUGAUCUAGCCGCUAAUUUAAUUCCUGUGGCUUGAUUUCCUUCUCGGCACAAGAAUAAUAUUAUUACAAAUAUUGUGAAUAAUUGCUCUUGUGCUAAGAAAAUAAAUUAUAUCCUUGUCACCUAAAUUUCCUUUUAGCCUCAAACAAUUCCUUGAAACCCUUGCCAUAUAUUUUAGGGUUCAAAUCCUAUCCUUUUGCCUCAACCUAUUUUCCUACCACAUUCCCAAAAAUAUUGCACUCAAACUAGAACCCUUUUGGAAAUUAUAUCCAAAUAUAAUUUCCUUUCAAAAUUCUCUAUUCAAAUUCCCUCCAAAAUUCACAAAUAAUUCUUUAUGGGCCGAGAUCUUCUUUUCUCUCUUUCGGCCCUCCUCUCUCUUAUGGCCUAGCUGGCCCAGGAGGCAACCGCCUCUCUCAUCCUCUUCCAGGUGCGCACGCCGCCGCCAACGCCGUACGUCGCCGCUAAGAAAUCGGCGCCGUCAUUCUUUCCUUCACGUUGCCGCAGCCGUGCCUUCGUCGCCCUCCUCCUCUGCGAACCGACUUGAGCAACUGACCUCUGAAGCCUAUAAAUACCGGCGAGCCCGUCCCUUUCUCCCCCACACAUCAUCAGAGCCUCGAGCUCUUCCUCUCUCUCCUGCCAUGUCCGGCCGCCGCCUACCGUCGGCCGAUCUCCUUCACCAUAGUUCAACAACCCAAACCAUCGCGCCAUCGGCUUUGCCUCGGCGAGAUGAAUCCGUUUUUCCCCUUUCCCUUCUCCUUUAGCCACCACCACAAGCCAUCACCGCCACCAUCCAUGCCGGCCAUGGUUGAGCUCCUGCCGUCGCCGUUCCGGCCAUCUCCCUCUCCACCUUAGCUAGCUACCACCCUCCCCGGAUGCGCGUCGCUCGGGAACAUGUUUUUCCGCCGACGUAGCAGCCUCUCGACCACCGGAGCACCAGCGCCCCUUUCUCCCUCUCUUCUCCCUUCUCUCGGCUCUCUGUGAAGCGGGAGGAAGAAGAAGACGAGAAGAAGAGAAAGAAGAGAAAAGGGAAUAGACACUGACAGGUAGGCCCAUGAAUAGUAACCUUUCAUAUUUUCUAGAUUUAUAUUUUCUAGAUUUUAUUCAAAUCCUAUUUUUUAGAAGCCCAUAUCUCCUAAACCGUAGAUCCGAUCUCAGUGAAACCUGGACCUAAAUUCAUAUAAAUUCAAAUGCUUCAUUUUGAUGCUCAAUUUGCUAUUUUAUUUGAAUUUAGGUUUGUCUUUUUAAAUAUUUUCUUUUAUCCCAAAAUACCCUUUAGCCACUAAAAAGCCGCCGGUUGGAACUUUACACCUUCCAUGGGGACGUUUGCGGUCUAUUGGCCCCGACGUCGAACCGUUAGUUGUAAAGCCCGGCAAAAUCAAACCCAAGGUCGAAGUGCUGCUCCUGGCACCCCAUGCCUCGAUGCGUACAGCGGUUGGAGCUUCACUAUUUCCUCGACCUCCAUAGCACGCCGCACAGUUUGCUCUCGAGCCCUGUGUGAUCCUAGCCGCUCCGCCGCCACUCAUGGUUGUCGGAGUAACACUUCCGCCCCACUAAACCUGCACAAACCUCCCAUCCCUCUAGCCGUUAUAUUGUCUAUUGACACCGGCCGGAGAAGAUACCAAACCUAGUCGUCAUGCUUUAGUGACGAAUAGAGAACACCCAAACCCUAGCCGAUAUUUAUCUUACCUCGAUAUCGGCUUAGACAACUGAAACCUUAAUCAGCCUACCAUCCAAAUCCCACAUCCACUACAAUAUUACUUAUCCGCCAUAUCUUAGCCACCUACUCUCCAUCUACCCAGAACCUAUACAUAAAAUAUAGAACCUGGCCGAUAUACUGCCCUACUCCUCAAUCGGCCUAAAUAUAACCGAACCCUAGAUAUAAUCCUACCCAAACCCACUAUCAGCCAAUACCAGUCACAUAUCUGCUCAACCAGUUCAAUUAUCCACUAUACUCCCUAUCCACCAACCAGUCAGAGUCUGCACAUAAAAUAUAGGUGACCUUAGCCGCUUAAUUCCCUCUCUACCCCAGCCACCAACUUUUUAGAAUCCACAUAUAAAAUAUCAGCGCAGUAAUCCAUAUACCUGCAUAAAAGAGAUAGGCUAUACCCUAAACCCUAGCCCUCUUAACCGUUUGUCGUUUUCUUAUUAUUCUAUGGCUUUUAUUGAAUUUGGAUCUUCCUCUUCUACAGUAGAAUCUGUUAUAUUUUGGAUGGCAACCUGUGGUAUUUCAAGGAUCGGAUAAUCAGGUUGUCUAUUUCGGAUUUAUUUGCGUUGGAGCAAGGCAAGUUAUUAUUCCUCUACUUUGAACAUAAAUGCCCUAUAUUCUGUAUCUCUGAUACCUCAUGCAUUAGUCAUAUAUGAUUUCAAAUGCAUAACCUGAACAUAGUAAACCGGAUAUACUAGCUUUUGCUGAGCUCUGUCUAGUUAGACUGCAUAAAAUAUAAUGAACUUAGAUUGGGACAAUACGGUAGAAAUGGUUGAUUUCCGGGUGGCUAGUACUGUUCCAACCGACAUAAGAUUGCCAAGUACAUGUGAAGAAUAUACGAGUACGACCGCAAUUCUCAUAUGGGCAUAGACCUAGCUGAUUAAGUUAUCUAGCAAAGGUGGUACCUCUGUAUAGUGGUUCUUCUUAAGUCCUCUUGCAAGAGGCAACUUACGCCGAGCAGGGCGAUUAUAAUAUUUACCGAGGCGCAGGUAAAUAUAUUGAUUAUUGCGCGCUGUGUGUAUAUUGUGAAAACCUAGUUGGGAUGACGGGGAUCUCUCAACCAGUUCUCUCUAAAAACCUCAGGAACGCCAGAACUCCUCUCGCUGCUGAUAACGUUACGUUCAGAGCGUAUGAGGACUAUAGUUCAUGGAACAGGUACCACUGAUGUUAGUAACCCAAAAGCUUUGCCAUGACUAAGCUGAUGAAUAUUAGCAUGUCAUGGAUUGCGGGUAAAGCGUACAUCUACUGCAGUAUGAAAAUUAUUAAAACUAUUCGAAUAGCCGUGCUCGCGGUUAUCGAGCAUUGGGACUCACAAUGGCAUCUUGGUUAGAAACAUAAUUUCAAACUUUAUUAAAUACUGUUGCAUAUCAAACAUUUCAGGAUUUCUACUUCUUUAUUCUCAGCUUUCUGCAAUUAAACCUAGCUCUACUCAAAUAUUACCAUUUCAUACAUUUAUAAUUGAAUAUAAUAGCUUGCUGAGUACGUUGUACUCAUCCUUGCUUCAACCCCUUUUUCAGAGUUAAUUUGGAGUCUUGCCGAAGCCGGGAGUUCAAUCAUAUAAGUUAAUCUCAUUUUAACUUAGUUCUCAAGUAUAGAUUAGAUAGAUGGUUUAAGUCUAUAGCCAAACAUUAGAGUUAAGACAUCCUAUAGCUUCUGCUGUGUUAGUUAGCCACAAACUUGUAAAUACCCUUAUAUUUUGUAAUAAUAUCUCCUUUGAAACCUUGAUCAAUUGUAUGCAAUGAAGAUCCAGAUCGUUAAACCUGUAUCAAUCUACUGAUCCAGGGCUUGAUACAGUCUAAACAUGUCGGUUUCCAAAUCAUUAGUUUUGGGACCCGACAGAACAAACACAAAGCACAUAUGGCAAAUAGUAAAUCCACUACAACAAAAUCAAAGACCAUACAAAGCACGUAAAGAUGUAGCAAUCCACAUUGAUUCUUCAUCCACUACUAAAACAAGCGCGUAUGAAAGGCCGCAUAUGCAUGAUCAUUGUGAAUAUGACAUGCCCUUGUCGAGCAAACGUGUCACUUCAUGCAAAUAUGUUGUUUCAAGCGACAUCAAUAUAUGGUUCAAAAAUGGGUCCAUAUGAUUUUUUUAAGCAACUUUUGUAUAGAAACUUUUUGCAAAAAACACAUUGUUUAGUAGUUUGAAAAGCGUGCGUGCGGAAUACGAUAGAGAUGGGUUGGGAACCCUGGAUUCCGAACACAGCCCAAGUCUAUCCAAAAAGUUUAGACAAGAAAACACGUUUGGUACCGCAUCUACAAGUAGAGCAAAAUGGCGAUUUCUCUUAAAUCUCUCGAAUGGUGAUUUAAGAAUUUAGUGCAAAUCUAAUCCUUGCUAUAAUCAAACGUUCGGUACCGCAUCAACGGAACAAUAAAAAGCACCUGGCGUACCAUAAUUUUGUCAUUCUUGUUGAAAUUUGUAAUUUAAGAUGCAUGAGGCCACACGACCUUAAUGUUCAACGUGUCAUGCAUUAGUGAAAUAAUAGCUCACAAAACGCAACAAAUAUAGCUAGAUAACGGUUGCAAUCCUUACCAAACUAACGUAUAAAGUGAGCAAUGAGUCAUAUCAUUAUCUCCCUAGCCUGCUAACCAUCAUGUACACCAUCCAACUUCUAGGGAUGAACUUGGACAAGGUUUAAGGUUUCGGGAUGAAUCUGAACAAAUGAUUGUUCAGGUUCAUCCCUAGAUGUUGGUUUCUCGUUAUGGGACGGAGGGAGUAUAUGUGAUGGACACAAAAGUUACUUUCAUGAUGAAACAAAGGGGAUUUAUUAGGGCACCUAAGAGAACAUCUGUCCAAAUGACAUGACACACUUAGAUCUUAAUAGGACAUCCAAGCAAAACUAACACUCUAAAGCCACCGAUGUGGAAUUGAAAGAAAAUACGUGCCAUCGCAUCUAUAAAUAAACAAGCGCAAUGAAAACCCUCCUUAUCGUUCACACAGUUCAAGCCUUAUACAACAAAAUAGAAAGAUCUAGUGUCCCGUAGCAAUGAAGAUCAUUUUCGUCUUUGCUUGCUAUUGCUGCAUGCAGCGACUCUGCGCAGUUUGAUGUUUUAGGUCAAAGUUAUAGGCAAUAUCAGCUGCAGUCGCCUCUCCUGCUACAGCAACAGGUGUUUAGCCCAUAUAAUGAGUUCGUAAUACAACAGUAUGGCACAGCGGCAAGCCCCUUCUUGCGAUCAGCUGCGUUUCAACUAAGAAACAACCAAGUCUUUGAACAGCUCGGGCUGGUGCGCAACAAUCUCACUAUCAGGACAUUAACAUUGUUCAGGCCAUAGCGCAGCAGCUACAACUCCAGCAGUUUGGUGAUCUCUACUUUGAUCGGAAUCUGGCUCAAGCUCAAGCUCUAUUGGCUUUUAACGUGCCAUCUAGAUAUGGUAUCUACCCUAGGUACUAUAGUGCACCUAUUACCAUUACCACCCUUUGCGGUGUCUUGUACUGAGUUUUAACAGUAUAGUGGUUCGGAUGUUGAAAAUAAGCUCAGAUAUCAUCAUAUGUGACUUGUGAAACUUGGGGUGAUAUAAAUAGAAAUAAAGUUGUCUUUCAUAUUUAAAUACCAUGCCUCUAUAAAGAUAUAUUGUCACGCUCUGAAAAUCGCCUAAUUGAAUAAUUCAUUCUUUAAUGCAUUUUUAGAAAUUAUUUUAAAAGCUUGCAAGUUAAACUCUAAUAAUCUAGGAAAAAUCGCAACAAAAAACUGAGUUAGAUAAAAUUUCAUCAAAUACUUUGCUUGUUGAUCUAUUUUCUAGAUUUUUCUGGGAAUUAUUUGAGCAAGGGAAGUAUUUUUAAUCAACGAAAUAGCAUUUCACGAAUUAUUCAAAUAAGGAAAAGUUUGAAAACCUUUCUGUAGGCCGUGGGUCAUUUUCGGCCCACAAAGCCUGCUGCUCCAUUCCUUUCUUUUCUUUUCUUUUUCCUUUUUCUCUGAAAGUGUACAAUGCCUCCCUUGGCACUGUUCAUCUUCAACCUCAGGCCAGCCGACUGAGCCCGAGCUGCUGCCGCCUCCCCCCUUUGAAUCCGCCUUCAUCGGUUGCUCCUAAAUUCGAUUGGAUGAGGGGAAUUUAUCUACCCGUUAUCCUCUAUCUUUUCCCUCAAAAAACCGGAUUUUAAUUCCUUGUAUUUUACCCGAAUCAAACUCGUUUAGAGUUUAUCUCUCCAACCAAACCAUCGGAUUUUCCAGAUUCGAUUCCUUUCAUUCCGUGUUCGAUCUCUUUAAUCCGAGCCUAUAAAUAGCAUCCCCUAGUAGUCCUCUUCCGUUUGCGUCAAGUCCAAGCCGCAGCAGUCGCCUAUAGCGCCGCCGCCGCGCAAACCCUAACACCGUCGCCGCCGUAGCCGUUUCAGCCGCGCCGCGCUGCUGCUGUGGUCGUCGCCACCGCCGCUUUCCGUCGCCAUCGUCGGGUUCGCCAGGUGGAGGAGCAUCCUGUCCACCCCUUUGCUGCUGCUGCAUCUCGCCGGAGCGCCGUCGCCGACGUUGACCCGAGCCGAGCCGCCAUCGGACCUCGUCGUCGGUCGUCGUUUGUCGUAGUUCUUUGCUUCGUUGAGUUCGCAUCGUCGUCCUCUUCAUGUUGGUGUCUUCGGAAAGCACAACCGAGCUCUUUAGCACUGGUAACCUCGUGGUCCUGUGCCAUGGCCGGCGAUGAUGUCGUGAUGACAUCAUAAUUUCCUUUUUAUUAGUUUUUCUGUAUUAGAUGAAAAUCGAUUAAACUUCAGAAAUUCAUAACUAAAUCAUCGUAACUCGGAUUCAAGUGAUUCAAGUUGCUAAAUUCAUCUAAUAUCGAGAUCUACAUGUAAAAAAUAUCCACAUGUACUGUUUAUGCUUGUUUUUGUACUGUUUUGUUGAUUUUGUUCAUUUGCUUUAGUUUCCAACGUUCCGGAGGAGAGCGUUUACGUUGAGGAAGGUUCAGAAGCGUUUGAAGAAGGUCAAGGCAAGUCACACAGAUCCCAAACAACCCUUUGAGCAUGUUGAACCCGUUUAAAGCUAAUGUUUUAUUUCCACUUAUGCAUUAUUUUCGAAUGUCAUCGGGUUGUGAGCCUUUCCCAUUCAAUUAUGGCUAACAAUGACUUUAUUUUCCUAUGGGUAAUAAAUUGAUUAGCUAGAAUCUUAUACAUUGGUUUGGUUCAACUAAAUGCUAUAUAUCUAAUUGCUUAGCCAUGCUUAGAAACAUUUGCUCAUUAAUGGGAUGAAUCAUAUUACAUUAUUACUUAUGGUUAGAUUUAAUGGUAGCUUACGAUGGUUAAUCGUGUUAUGAUAAUUAAUUUAUCAUUAAAACCUGAUUAAAGAUGGGUUGUGAGUACAUGGUUUUGAUGGUCGUGCUCAUGAUAAUUAAAGACUGGUUUGCGAGCUACUGUUGUGAAACAUUAACCGUGCCAACCACAAGCCAGCGUGGGCAACGGCUUUACCUUUUGUAUAGUAUGGUUCAUUAUGGGGUGCUAGACUGAGAAGCAGCGAGAAGUCCGUGGGGGUCGCUGGGGAGUACAUGCCUCUGGUUGUAGGGGGGUGAUUAUGAUCCAGGAUUGGUGCACUAUGGUGAGUUGUGUUGUGCGAGGGGUACUGUCACAGUUCCUUUCUGAGGUACUGUGGUGGUAUUGAGGCGCAUGGUGACAUGUCGUGGAGCUGUCUUGUGGGUACAGUGGUACAUCUCUGGCCAGAGUAAAACUAUUCGAAUAGCCAUGCCCGCGGUUAUGGGCAGGUCUUACAAUGUUUUUCGUGAUUGGUCUCACACUACUCAUUAAUGAUAAUACUGUGAUAAUUAAUUUGACUCCUGGUUUGGAAUGGUAUAUUCCUCGUAUGGUGGUUUGAUUUGUACAACCAGGGUUGGUUGUUCAGAUGAGGUUGGGCCUAUGCAACACGGGUGUGUUGUAUAGUGUUUAUUUAAUAUUGCUUAAUUACUUAACUGUUUUACUAUUCUCUCAAAUGUUUAUUAAAUGCUGUAUAUGCAAAUGAGUUUUAUUAUGCCAUCCUUUGCUAUCCUGUGCACUUGCAUAUUUGCUGUGUGGCUUGUUGAGUAUGUCAUAUGCUCAUUCGUGCAAUAUUCAUUCAUCAGAGGAGGAGUACUUCAGUGAAGAUGAUGGUCAGGAGGAUUAGGCUUUGUUCGGGUCAAGUUGCUUGUGGAGUGGAGUCGCCAUAGCUGUUUAGUCUUUUGUUUUUUCUCUGCUGCGUAGAAUUUUAUUCUUUUGAGAGGAACUAUCCACCUCUGUAAUAAUUUAUUAUUUUGCGAAUAUGAAUUAGUAGUUUGAUAGUUCUCUAUUAUCAAUUUGUUAUUGUGUGCCUCGGCUGAUUCCUGGACGAGGAUUUAACACACAUGUAAGCGUUUGGAAUUUUGGAUAGAUAUUCCGGGCGUGACAUAUAUCCUAGUACGUUGUCGUAACUAAUUACCAUCAUCGGUACUCUACAAUUUUACUGUGUGCUUACAUUCGAUCCGAAGCUACUUUGUUUUUAAGAUAUAAAUGGAGCGUAUAAAGGAUGUCCAUCCUUUUAUUCCAAUAAGAACAAACACAAAGCACAUAUGGCAAAUACUAAAUCCACUACAACAAAAUCAUAGAUCAUACAAAGCACGUAAAGAGGUAGCACUCCACAUUGAUUCUUCAUCCACUACUUAAACAAGCGCAUAUGAAAGGCCGCAUAUGCAUGAUCAUUGUGAAUAUGACAUGCCCUUGUCGAGCAAACGUGUCACUUCUUCAUGCAAAUAUGUUGUUUCAAGCAACAUCAAUAUAUGGUUACAAAAUUUUAAACAUUGGUAUAUUAAUGACUUUCAUAUAUGCAUAUUAAUAUCAAUUGAAAAACAUCUUGUUGUCCAUCACUCCUAACGAGAGGUAGUGUACAAGACAUUAUUUAGUUGAGCUCUCGCUCACUUUGCAUCACAGAAGUAUAACCUAGACAUAGCUAAUUCAGUAUAGAACCAAAAAGUGCAGCAGCAACAAUGAGGGUGAAAACUAGAAAGAAGGAUUUAUUAUGUUCCUUAGUUUAUUCAACCACGAAAGAGUGACUUAAAAAAUGUACACUUCUUCCAAAGUGAAAAUUAUGAGAUGUCUUACUUAUGGAAUGCUCCUACACACUGAGAUUGUUCUUGCUAACCUCUCGUUUCUAUGAGAAGUUUAUUCUAACAUAGCAAGUCGAUAGUUUACUACAAACAAAAUGGAUAAUAAACCUAAUGUUUCAACAAAACUACAGGAACUCACGCAUGAUGUACCCGAAGGAAACAGGUUUUUUGACACACUACAAAUAUGUGGUAGUCCUUUUCCAUCUCGAAAACGAAUCAACGCUGUGUUUCGAAUCAGCUGUUCCCAACAUACGAAUUGCGCACAGAAAACGUAGCGCUCCAUUAGAACGUGAUUAAUUAAGUAUUAGCUAUUUUUUUUUUCAAAAAUAGGUCCAUAUGAUUUUUUUAAGCAACUUUUGUAUAGAAACCUUUUGCAAAAAAUACACCGUUUAGCAGUUUGAAAUGCUUGCGCGCGGAAUACGAUGGAGAUGGGUUGGGAACCCUGGAUUCCAAACACAGCCCAAGUCUAUCCAAAAAGUUUAGACAAGAAAACACGUAACAAGUUGGUUUACAGAAAUACGAAUUAGAUCAAUCCUGCACUACAAGUAGAGCAAAAUGGUGAUUUCUUCUAAAUCUCUCGAAUGGUGAUUUAAGAGUUCAGUGCAAACCUAAUCCUUGCCAUAAACAAACGUUCGGUACCGCAUCAACGGAACAACAAAAAGCACCAGGCGUACCAUAAUUUUUUCAUUCUUGUUGAAAUUUUUAAUUUAAGAUGCAUGAGGCCACACGACCUUAAUGUUCAAGGUGUCAUGCAUUAGUGAAAUAAUAGCUCACAAAACGCAAUAAAUAUAGCUAGAUAACGGUUGCAAUCCUUACCAAACUAACAUAUAAAGUGAGCGAUGAGUCAUAUCAUUAUCUCCCUAGCCUGCUAAUCAUCAUGUACACCAUCCGAUCCCAAAAAUUACAACUUCUAGGGAUGAACCUGGACAUGGUUUAGGGUUUAGGGAUGAAUCUGGACAAAUGAUUGUUCAGGUUCAUCCCUAGAUGUUGGUUUCUCCUUACGGGACGGAGGGAGUAUAUGUGAUGGAUACCAAAGUAACUUUCAUGAUGAAACCAAAGGGGAUUUGUUGGGGCACCUAAUAGAACAUCUGUCCAAAUGCCACGACUCACUUAGAUCCUAAUAGGACAUCCAAGAAAAUCUAACACUCUAAAGCAACCGAUGAGGAAUUGAAAGAAAAUACGUGCCAUCGCAUCUGUAAAUAGACAAGCGCAAAGGAAACCCUCCUCAUCGUUCACACAGUUCAAGCAUUAUACAACAAAAUAGAAAGAUCUAGUGUCCCGUAGCAAUGAAGAUCCUUUUCGUCUUUGCGCUCCUUGCUAUUGCUGCAUGCAGUGCCUCUGCACAGUUUGAUGUUUUAGGUCAAAGUUAUGGGCAAUAUCUGCUACAGUCGCCUCUCCUGAUACAGCAACAGGUGCUUAGCCCAUAUAAUGAGUUCGUAAGGCAGCAGUAUGGCAUUGCGGCAAGCCCCUUCUUGCAAUCAGCUGCGUUUCAACUGAGAAACAACCAAGUCUGGCAAUAACUUGGGCUGGUGGCGCAACAAUCUCUCUAUCAGGACAUUAACAUUGUUCAGGCCAUAGCACAGCAGCUACAACUCCAGCAGUUUGGUGAUCUCUACUUUGAUCGGAAUCUGGCUCAAGCUCAAGCUCUGUUGGCUUCUAACGUGCCAUCUAAAUAUAGGAUAUACCCUAGGUACUAUGGUGCACCCAGUACCAUUACCACCCUUGGCAGUGUCUUGUAAUGAGUUUUAACAGUAUAGUGGUUCGGAAGUUAAAAAUAAGCUCAGAUAUCAUCAUAUGUGACAUGUGAAACUUUGGGUGAUAUAAAUAGAAAUAAAGUUGUCUUUCAUAUUUAAAUACCAUGCCUCUAUAAGGAUAUAUCCUAGUACGUUGUCGUGACUAAUUACCAUCAUCGGUACUCUACAAUUUUACUGUGUGCUUACAUUCGAUCCGAAGAUACUUUGUUUUUAAGAUCAAUCUUUCGAGCUUCAAGCCGAUCGAUAUUUGACUUGAUCGGGCCUUGAGACAGCUGAUCAAGCUUGGACUUCUCUACAUGCAGAAGCUGCCGAUUGUGCUGGAUUGUAGCUUCAAUAUCUUUGCGUUCCCGGCGAUCGACUAAUCUCUGCCUAGCCUUCUCCAGCUUGAAUCGGUGUUGCUCAAGGUAAACAGCUGGAGUAAGGGCAUCGGCUAGUUCAUCUGGGAGUAGAGCUUGGAUGUCUGUAAACCUUACCCGGAUCGAGCCACAGUUGGUCACCAAGUUGUCUAGUGAUGUUUCUAGCCGAUGAGAAAUAUCUUCCAGUGUUUUUCUCACAUCAUCGGAUAGGGGAGCUAAGGCUUUGCUUGAAGUAUCUUCUUCUGCUUCAUCAACGUAAUCUCUGUCACGACCGAGAAAAAUACAUUUUCCCGAACGCUAGUGUAUUAAUCCCCGUCACAGGAAAAGCCGGGGUACACCACACAAACAUGGUACAAAAGGCACAUCUUUAUUAUAUCGAUAAUAUUUAUAUUAUUACAAAGGCACUUAAGGCCUGACAAUCAAAAAUAAACAGCAGCGGACUAGCGGGCCUACGGCUCCAUCUUCACAGGCGCUCAACUAGGGUAUAAGCCAGGACUCCACCUAAGACUUCUUCUCCAAAGCUUCUCUUACUGAAGGGGGGGAAAGAUUGAGCAAGAAUGAGCACAACCACAGUACUCAGCAAGCCACACCGGCUGAUGCAUGAUUAAUGCAAGGGGGUACAAGGGGUAAUAAUAUCGGGGUUAAGUUUUGCAGUAAACAGCAUUAAAAGUCACUUAGUUGCUCAAAGCUACUUUGUAAACACGGUUCUAGAGCUAUACAAUAUUAUUAAUCAAGGCCGUGAACCCACACGAACCUGCCUUAACCCAAGGCCUACGAUGAUUCAGACCGAACUGGCAACCCGACCCUGGGUCCCAGCUCGUCCCAAGCCAACCCAGGCCAACCAUUCCACAUUUUAGUUGUUAAGCAAAUUUUAAGAAUUAAAACACUAACUUGGGUACAUUGCUAGGCUUGCCCAUAACCGAGGGCGCGGCUAUUCGAAUAGGUUAUACUCUGAUCAGAGGUGUACAUCUUUACCCACAAGACACAUCUUCCUCACGUGUAACCACGUGCCACAUACCACCACGGUAUACGGACGGAAGACGUGACAUAGUUCCCAACCCAUCCUAGCCAUAAACAAGAGUACCGACCCAACCCCACCUACGGCCGGAACCCCCGGGACAGGUAGGCAGGACUGAGCCCCCAGCAGCAGGACACCGGCCCUGUGCCAUGACAUCUCGACUACCGGGCCGCAGCUCGUGUAGCCUUCAUUUGUCCUAGAGAUGUCCAUCGACACCCGACUUCGUCCAUCUCCAUCCGUGUACUUUUGUUUAUAACCAGACUAAGCCACAAACUAAGCCUUACCCACUAGACAUGUGGAAGUACGGUAGUGCUUUGCAACAGAGGCCCGAGCUUAAUCCUUAUAUUGGCCAGGGUGCUACUUCCCACAACUAGCAUGCACCCAAACCCCACCGAAAAACAGGUUUUAGGGGCUUUGAAAGAGGAAGAGAGGGGUAUGUCCAAUUCCACCAUAAGCCAACCAUUCCAUAGUAUCCAAGAGAUAUGAAUAUUCCCAAAGUCUAAAGUUAUAAAAACCACCUAAUGUUGUCCUAUUAAUCAGCGAAGCAUCUACCUAAAUUCAUACUAGUGGAACCAUGAAUAGAGUACCCACUAGUUGGGGUUUUGUUUAUUCUAGGGUGAACAAGGUAAUAAUAACAAUAGCAAUAAUAAUGUCUUAACAAAGGUAAAUAGGCAUGGCUAAAUAAAACAGUGAUAACGCGGGAAUUUAAAUAAAGCGGUAAUGCAUUAAUUUAAAUCAAAAUAAUUUUAUAAACUGGGAUUCAAUAUGCUCAAGGAUGAUGUGACUUGGCUUGCUCACUUUCCCAAACGUCAGCUUCAACUUCCACGAAGAGCGGAUCUUCCGAAGGUGCAGCGUCUACACGACCAACGGAAAAGAAAAGGCUUUUACUCUAAUAAACUCCAUAUAACAAGCAGAAACAAAGCACAAAAAUGGGUUCUUGACUUUUUAAGGAAAAAUUAGAGACUUGAACGGUCCAAUUCCGAGUUCAAAUGGCCAAGUUAUGGUCAUUUGAAGUUUAUAUGCUCUUUAAAUGAAUAUUUGCGAAUUUCUUCAUUUAAAUUCUAAUUUAAAAAAAAGUUUAUUGCGUCAGCCGAGGGGGAGCGGCGCGCGGACCGGGUUCACGGGAGUGGGGCCCACGCGGCAGCCUCACGGUCCACGGUGGACCGGGUGCACCCGGGCUCGCACCGGCCAGCGCCGUGGGCCCCACGCGUCAGCCGCACCCAAGGGCGCGGGCGGCUGACGGCCGGGUCCCACGCGGCGGCCACUUGGCGCUCCCGAGGGCGGCCACGCCGGCGCGAUCGGCCGGAGGCGGCGCGCCUGCGCCCCGAUGGUCGCCGCCGGCGACCAUAGGCACGGCGGAGCGGCGGCCGAGAGAGGGGAGGGAAAGGGGAAAACGAAGAGGCGGUCCACGGCUCACCCUAGGCCGACGGCGACGACGAAAAGGCAGCCGGAGAGGAGGAAGGCGGCGGCGCGGCUCGGGUCGACGGGGACGGCGGCGCUCCGGCGGUUGGCGACCGAAACAGAGGGGUGGACGAGGUCGGCGAGGAUGCGGCGAAGCCGAAGGAGGCGGCGCCGAGGUGGGAGGCGCUCCGGGGCGACGACGGCGGCGGACCGGAGCUCGGCGGCGACGGCGGAGAGAGAGAGCGACGUCGCGAGCUCGAAUCCGGCGAGGAGGAAGGGCUGCGAGAGGCGGAACCGGACGGAGGAGGUGCGGGGAGGGUUUAAAUAGGGUUGGAAGGGGGAGAGAGCGGCCGGGGAGGAAGGAAACCGCCACGGGAGGUCGGCCGCCAUCAGUGGCGCCGGCGAGAUUUGCGGGGGCAAAUCCGCCCGUUUGAACGCGAGAGAGAGAGGGAAAAAUGGGGGAAAGAGAGAGGGGAUCACAGGGAAUAUUUCCCCCCGCUUUAUUGCACGCGGGGACGACGGGAGGCGGAGGGAUUCGCGGCGGCGGCGGCGCUAGGGCGCGGGCGGCGGGAGCGGCGGGAGGAUAGGGAUGACAGGUGGGCCCCACCCGUCAGCGAGGGUGGCGGGUGGGCCCGUCCGUCAGCGGCGUGCGCGCGGGGAGAGGCCGAGUGGGCCGCGGGGAGAGGAGGGAGAGGGGAGGGAGAUUGGCCGGGCCAGCCCAAAAGAGAGAGAGGGAAGGAAAAAUAGAGGGAGGGAGAGAGGACUUUGGCCGCGGGCCGAGAGAGAGAGAGAGGUCUUUGGGCCAGACUUGGCCCAAAGGGAGGAGGGGGAUUUAUUUUUUUGUUUUUCUUUUUAGGAAACUUUGAUAAUUGUUGUUGUUGUUUAAUAAAUAUUUUUGGUGCUCUGAAAAUUCAAGUAAAAUUUGAGGUUUCCUUUUAGACCAAGGAGAAUUUAACAAAAAUUCUCCGGACCACAUCCGAAUUUUUCUGGCACGUAUUUUAGUGUUUGUCAAUUUCUUUUCGAAUUUUAAUUAAUUCUAUUAUUCCUUUUAGAAAAUGAUUUUUAUUUUGGGAUGAAUUUAUCAGGACGUGACAAUCUCUGAUGUCAAAAGAGAAGAGAUCGGCUAGAACCUGCAGAUACAAUUCCAGAAAGAGUAUGAGCUGAGUAAAAUGUAGCCGAUCAGAUGGUUGACACAAAGGAAAACUUACUGGGAUAGCAGGGGCAGCUGGUUGUUCUUCUUCCUCGAUGUGAUGACUCCCCACAGCCGAUAGAGUCUGGUCACUUGACGGUUGCUGUACAGGAGGAGAAGAAGGAGGAGGCUGUAGAAUAGACAAGUGUUAUAUAGAGCCAGAUGAGUUUGAUUAAGUAAAAUAAUUAAAGACAUCUUACUGGUGGAGCCGACUUGACAAUCGUAGCUGUUGACUUUUUCUUCACAGCAGUUUUCUUUUUCUACAACCAUAAAGUCUAUAAGUAAUUAGCAGAAGAGGGAAGUAAUUUUAGAAGAAGUCAAAGAGAGAUACUUACCCUUGUAAAAUGAACGGGGGCAGAAGGUGUUGGAGGCGUUUGCUUGGGUGAAGCCGAUGGUGUUCUUUCUGUGUCACUCAUUUCGGCUACAGCCUGGUCAACAUCUUCACCAAUUUCCUCUUCAUCUAAGGCUUGUUCAAUAGAUGGAUCCAAGGCAGGCAGAUCAUUAGCCGGCUUAUCUGUUGGCUUGGUUUUCUUGAAUUUGGCCUUUUUCUUUGGAGCUAAGACCAAGGUACUCACGGCUGAUGAUCUGGUUUUCCUUUUCUUGCCUGCAUCGGCUGGUUCCCUGGUUAGGCCGUGAAGGAGAGUUGAAGUCUUGGGGGCAUGGUAGCCGAUAACAAGGGGAGAUAGUUCACCUUCAUUCGGAAUUAGACCUGAAGCAUAUUCAAUAUUCUUGCCACUGUUACUUUGAUGAGGAGGGGAGGACUCUGUUGUCUGCAGAACAGGAGCAAAAGAUACAUCUGAGCAGCUCAGCUGAUAGCUUUGCUCCAGCAUCGGUUGGUGUGGAUGCAUAUUCUCCAUAUGACAUACAUCUGCGAUGGGUGCGUUCUUCUCCGUCAUCUUCCACAAUCGGCUCUGGCAAUGGGAAUUCAGCUUCUGUUACAGAUGGCCGAUUGUCACGUCCUGAUAAAAUAAUCCCGAAAUAAAAAUCAUUUUCUAAAAGGAAUAAUAGAAUUAAUUAAAAUUCGAAAAGAAUUUGGCAAACACUAAAAUGCGUACAAGAAAAAUUCGAAUGUGGCCCGGAGAAUUUUUGUUAAAUUCUCCUUGGUCUAAAAGGAGCCCUCAAAUUUUACUUGAAUUUUCAGAGCACCGGAAAUAAUUAUUAAGCAACAAAAACAAUUAUCAGAGUUUAUUAAAAAGAAAAAGCUAAAAAUAAUCCUCCUUUUCCUUUGGGCCAAGUUUGGCCCAAAGUCCUCCCCCUCUCUCUCUCGGCCCGCGGCCAAAGUCUCCGUCUCCUCCCUCUCUUUCCCUCCUCUCCCGGGCCUCCCCUCCCCCUCCCGGCCCACUCCCUCCUCCUCCUUCCUCCCGGCCUGCCUCGGCCCAGCAGCCCGGCCCAAGCCGCAGCGCCCUCCUGCCCUAGCCGCACGCGCACGUGCGCCGCACGCGCGUUGAGCGCGCCUCCCGCGUGGGUCCCGCCUGUCAGGCGCGCCCCCAACCUCCAGCCGCCGGCCUCCUUCCUCUCUCUCCCGUGAACCCUAGCGCCAUUUCCUCCUCCAAAUCCGCCCCGAAUCCAACCGUUCUUUCCAAAUUGAUUGGGGGGAAUUAAUCCCCAUUCCUUCCUCUUUGAUUUCCCCCGUUUUCCCCCUUGAAUGGCUCCCCCAAUCGCCGGGAACGGACACGCCAACUCCGGCCACCUUCCAUGGCCACCGGCCGCCAUUUCCGCCGCCGUUCCCCGCUCCUCCCGUGCUCGGCUCGCUUCCCUCCGCUAUAAAACGGAAUCCCCUCGCUCCGUUCUAUCGUUUUAGCCCCCUCCCGCGAUCUCCCGUGGUCCCUAGCCACCUCCCCGCCGUCGUCCCCUCUCUCCCGUGCCGCCGGCCGUCUUCAGCCGCCCCUGCCGCCGCGUUAGCACGCCGGCCGGCUGUGCCGUCGCCUCCUCCAGCGUCGCAGCCGCCUCCUCUUCGCCGGCCUGCCCUCUGUUUCCCGCGAAGACCGCCGGAGGCGUGUCCCCGCCGGCAACCGGUGGCAUUGCCGCCACCCACUGCCUCCAGCCGCCCCUGCCGCGCCGCUCAAGUGCGGGCCGGCUACGCCGUCUCCUCCCUCGGCGUCGCCGCGUCGACCUCCACCCCGGCCUACCCUCUGAUUCGUCCGGAGACCGCCAUCGCCCACGCCGGCCUCUCCAUCCUCUUCGUCGCCGGCGUCCCUUCGGCCGCCCCUCCCUCCUCCCCGGCUCGUCGGCUCGCAGCGCCACCACCACCUCCGGCAUCGCAGUGGCAAGGUCGCCCUCGGCCUCGCCUCCCCUUCGACCGAACCCCGCCAGUGUUCGUCGUCGUCGUCAUCGUUCCUCCUCGCCGGCUUGUCGUCUCGCGGCGCUGCCUCCGUCGUCGGCAUCGCAGCGGCGUGUUCCGCGCCGUCCUCGUCUCCGUGCAGCCGCUGCCGGCUGCCCUCGUCACCCCCUCGCCGGCCCCGGUCGUCGUCGUCGUCGUCCUCUCGUCGUUCCCGGUCAUCGUGGCGUUCGUCCCUCCGUCGAGCCGUUCUCGUCCGUCCUCGGUGUUUCGUCAAGGUCGCUGUAGCCGUCGUCGUCUUCGUCCUCGGCUCCGCGUCAUCAAGCCUCGUGCCGGCCGCGUCUCGCCUUCGUCCAAGGAUCGCCGCCGAAGUCAUCCCCUCGCCGUUCGUCUCCGUAGUUCCCGGCCGCCUCCGCCGCGCCCGUUCGUCGUUGUCGUUCCCACGCCUCGUCGCGUGGUGGUAAGGAUCCCUCUCCCUCGCUUCCCCGUCCUUGUUCUUUCGGUGUCGCCCGUGCUCGUUGUGCGGUUGUCGGCCCCGGUACCCGUAUACCGGUGUCGGUAGUCGUCCAUGUGUGCGUGUGGUGACCGUGUUAGUGUGCCCGCUCGGUAGCCACUUGGUUUCCACGUGUGCAACCCGUGUGGUGUCUAGUGGAGUCCGUUUGUCGGCCACUCGCCUCGGUUGACACACGGGAUCCGCUUCCGUCGACCCGUGGACCGUCUCUGUAUACUCGGUCUACCGCGGUCCUUUUUGUUGACAUGUGAGGUCCGCAUGUCAACGGCGCAGCCUUUCUGUCUUUUCUAGGCUAGCGCUUACACAUGUUUUAUAGUUGCAAAGCUUAAUUAUAAUAAUCCGCAAAUCUCCAUAUAACAGCACUAAACUUCGGAUGAUCAUAUCUUGGUCAUACGAACUCCGAAUCGACCCGUUCAAGUCUCCUAAUGCUUGUUAUAACCUAAAGAACUGUGUGCUUUCUUUUUAUGUAUUGUUAUUGCUUCUUUAUAGGCUUGUAGCUUUGCUUGUGUGCUUCGCGUAGCUUUCGUCGUUCCGGAGGUUCCCGAAGCGUGGUUCGUGGUCGUCGCCGAAGGUUCGGAAGGCCGUUCUCUCUGAGCAAGGCAAGUCACAUCAUCCUUGAGCAUAUUGAAUCCCAGUUUAUAAAAUUAUUUUGAUUUAAAUUAAUGCAUUACCGCUUUAUUUAAAUUCCCGCGUUAUCACUGUUUUAUUUAGCCAUGCCUAUUUACCUUUGUUAAGACAUUAUUAUUGCUAUUGUUAUUAUUACCUUGUUCACCCUAGAAUAAACAAAACCCCAACUAGUGGGUACUCUAUUCAUGGUUCCACUAGUAUGAAUUUAGGUAGAUGCUUCGCUGAUUAAUAGGACAACAUUAGGUGGUUUUUAUAACUUUAGACUUUGGGAAUAUUCAUAUCUCUUGGAUACUAUGGAAUGGUUGGCUUAUGGUGGAAUUGGACAUACCCCUCUCUUCCUCUUUCAAAGCCCCUAAAACCUGUUUUUCGGUGGGGUUUGGGUGCAUGCCAGUUGUGGGAAGUAGCACCCUGGCCAAUAUAAGGAUUAAGCUCGGGCCUCUGUUGCAAAGCACUACCGUACUUCCACAUGUCUAGUGGGUAAGGCUUAGUUUGUGGCUCAGUCUGGUUAUAAACAAAAGUACACGGAUGGAGAUGGACGAAGUCGGGGGUCGAUGGACAUCUCUAGGACAAAUGAAGGCUACAUGAGCUGCGGCCCGGUAGUCGAGAUGUCAUGGCACAGGGCCGGUGUCCUGCUGCUGGGGGCUCAGUCCUGCCUACCUGUCCCAGGGGUUCCGGCCGUAGGUGGGGUUGGGUCGGUACUCUUGUUUAUGGCUAGGAUGGGUUGGGAACUAUGUCACAUCUUCCGUCCGUAUACCGUGGUGGUAUGUGGCACGUGGUUACACGUGAGGAAGAUGUGUCUUGUGGGUAAAGAUGUACACCUCUGAUCAGAGUAUAACCUAUUCGAAUAGCCGCGCCCUCGGUUAUGGGCAAGCCUAGCAAUGUACCCAAGUUAGUGUUUUAAUUCUUAAAAUUUGCUUAACAACUAAAAUGUGGAAUGGUUGGCCUGGGUUGGCUUGGGACGAGCUGGGACCCAGGGUCGGGUUGCCAGUUCGGUCUGAAUCAUCGUAGGCCUUGGGUUAAGGCAGGUUCGUGAGGGUUCACGGCCUUGAUUAAUAAUAUUGUGUAGCUUUAGGAUCGUCUUUAUAAAAUAGCUUUGGGCACCUAAAUGACUUUUAAAUGCUGUUUACUGCAAAACUUAACCCCUAUAUUAUUACCCCUUGUACCCCCUUGCAUUAAUCAUGCAUCUGCCGGUGUGGCUUGCUGAGUACUGUGGUUGUACUCAUUCUUGCUCAAUCUUUCCCACCCUUCAGUAAGAGAAGCUUCGGAGAAGAAGUCUUAGGUGGAAUCCUGGCUUAUACCCCAGUUGAGCGCCUGUGAAGACGGAGCCGUAGGCCCGCUAGUCCGCUGCUGUUUAUUUUUGAUUGUCAGGCCUUAAGUGCCUUUGUAAUAAUGUAAAUAUUAUCGAUAUAAUAAAGAUGUGCCUUUUGUACCAUGUUUGUGUGGUGUACCCCGGCUUUUCCUAGGACGGGGAUUAAUACACUAGCGUUCGGGAAAAUGUAUUUUUCUCGGUCGCGACACCGAUUGACAACCUUCAUGACUAUCAGGUUUAAUCAAGUUUGCAGCAGCCACCAUGGUCCACCUGCUCCAACUAUUGAGCCGACGGCUAUCUUAGCCGAUGCAUUGUUCAACAUUUGGUACAGAUAGCCGAGAAGGAUUUUGCCCAAAGGAAAUUCUUUCUUUGAUUGUAAGGCUUCGGCUACAAACUGCCAGUUGGUUGUAGGGCCACAACUGGAUCCACAGAAGAGGAACUUUUCCAGCCACAUGAGCAAGAAAGCUACAUGCUCUCGAGGGGUAACAGAUCCUUGGCCCAUAUAUGCCGCCACAUAGCUAGACCAGCCACCUAUGCUUUUGGUCUUUCACUCAAAUUGGUUCUUGGUGUUCAUACUCAUAGGGUUAGCCUAUGACGUUACAUCUAAUCCAGUAACCAUGGUGAUGUCAAUUAAAGUUGGAGUCAUCGGCCAUUGGUUGAAUAAGAAGGCAUUGAUGGUGUUGGACCAGAAGUAGGUGGCGGAAGUUAUCAGAGGUUCGUCCUUAGCAGAAUUGGCUAUGGCGAGAGCAAGCGCUUGGCCGAUUCCAAUCUCAUCCCAGUGAACAUUCUUAAUAGCCGAUACGCGUUGGUACCAGGUGGUCCAGAUCUUAUUAGGUGUAGGUUUUUCAAGAGAUGGCCAAGACUUGAAGGUAUUCAUCCAGUGACCCAGGUUAGGGUUGGCUAAUCUAAAGGGGAUCCGGUUGGUUUCACCGAUGAUGAACUCAGUGGGGUCAAGAUUGCCGAUUGGGCCAAGAAAAUAGUGGUUUUGGUGCGAAAGGCUAGGAACUGCGACUAGGUUGGAAAGAUGCUACAAAUCCAAAACAACCGAGAAAAAGAGAGCGAUGUAAGAUAGGAGAAAAUCGAUCUGCUGCUAAGAAAGGGGAUUUAGCCGAUUGGGACUUACCUCAGUGUACUCGACUGAUAGUGUAUCAGAUGGGUUGGUGGAGGACGACAUCGCUGCGGGUGGAAAUCUCGCCGGAGAUGAAGUCGCCUGGUAGUCGCUUUUGCAUCGGAGGAAUUGCCGGAGAGAAAGAGGAUAAAGUUUCGCUUGAGUGGUGAAAACGGAAGUCACGGUGUGAGAUUUCUCGUGGGUGACGGUUAGUAUUUAAAGCAUGGCAGUAACGGUCGGAAAACGGCAAAGUGCGAAACUUGCUCGGAGUCGAUUUACAGCAAAUCCGAAACAUUACCAAAUAUUCCGGACUUGGAGGGCAUGUGUUAACAACCAAAAUUGGUAAUAUCGGCAUCGGGAAAGAAGAUUAGAUCGAAGCAAAAUCGGAGGCGGAGAUCGAGUUCGAAAACAGAGCAGGAAUCGGCCGGAGUUAAGAUCGGCUACGAUAAGAUCGGCUGAGUCUGAGUCGGACUAGGUGGGCUGAUGUAGCCGAUCCCGACAAUACGACUUGAUGUGUGAUGUCAGGUUGGAUUGAGGUGCUUCAAGGUGAUUGCCGCACAUGGAUAGAGUCAUAAGGAGGCGAUUGUAUCUAUUAAUUAGAUGUUUUAUGUAAUUUCCUUAGAGAUACGUUUGGGCAAAAAGUCUGCCGCAAAGACUUAUGGUAUCUUAGAGUUUGUUAGAGAUAGUAGUCGUGUCCGUUAUGGACAUAUCUUGUAAUUCUCGGGUAUAAAUAGACCCGAGCCCUAUGUAACUUUUUAACACACACGUUCAAUACAAUUUCGGCGCAUCGUCAGCCUUUUGCUUUAGUUUUGUUUUGACGAGUUCUUGCUUUCGGGUUGAGCUGCAUCGGUUUCGAUGUUCAACAAGAGGUAAAACUUGUUAUGACGUUUUGUGUUCUCGGGAUUAGUGCUUCUAUCUUUAUGAUACUCUAAUCUUGUUUAUGUAAUUCGUCGAGUUAUCAUAUAUUUUACAUAAUCUCUGGCAAUAUCGCUAUCUAACCUACGAUCGGCUAACAUCUGUCGGUGGAGGGCAGCCGAUUAGGUUAGAUUCCGACGUUGAUUUAGAUUAUGUAAGAUGUCUACCACUCUAUGAAACUCCCAGCGGCUUGAUUGUCUAGAUAUUGUUCUUCUUUUCAUUCUUAAUGCUGCAUCAGCUUAGUUUGAUCUAUUAAGUCGUGCUUAGAAUAUCAAUCUCUAGCCUGCCUUCUGGUUGUCGAUUAGGGUAGUAUCGGAGUUUCAGCCGAUCUUACUUGAUUUAACUAUAUUUACUCUAUGUGCUUUGGUGAUACGUUAAAUCUGCCCUUUAGGUCAAGAUAUUAUCGCAUCUAAGUAUACUAAGCUUUUGUUUAGCAUAUUCUGCUUGUUUUAACAUCUUAAUAUAGAGUUGUAUCGGAGUAUUAGCCAAUACAUGCUAGAUCUAUCUGAUCGGCUAUGCUGUGAAUAUAUAUAGUUCAUUUAUUAAUGUAUAAUUCGAUCUAAGUGAUUUAUACUGUCUCGGUAUGGCGACCGAUCUAUCCCAAUCACUUGAUUUUAUGAAUACAUCGAUAUAAGAACUAUAUAUUGUUGAUAUCUACAGCCGAUCGGGUAGAUUUAGUUCUUUAUUACUUAUUUACAACUACCGAUCAAUUCACAUAUGACAUCGGCUCAAAGAUAAAUGAUAUGUCAUCGGCGCCUAGCCGAUCGACUAUCAUUUAUAGAUUUAACCGCGGUUUCUUUGCUUCUAUUUCUUGUUGAUUACAGGAUCAAAUCAACUGGCACGCUAGCAUACCCGAAGGCGAACUUUGGACCUGCACUGGAGUUAAGGAGAUCUCCCAGGCCUCGUGUUUUCUGUCAACACGCUUUUGGCACACCUGGUGGGACACUUGAGAAGUCAGAUAACAAUUCUUCCUCAUGGCUGAGAAACAACCACCAACACCAUCUAGCCCAGGCUCUGUUAAGGACAAGAUGCUGAAGUUAGGAUUGACUGACGUCCAUGAAGGAAACGUUGUGCCAAUCGAUCUAGAAAAAUUCUCACCUGAGCAGAAGAAAGAGUUUGAAGCAAUGUUUCAGCAAGUACGGGAUCAGUUCUUGAACUCAUUCAUGCAGACCCGCAAGGGGACACUUGUUCAGAAGUACAAAAUAAAAGUAAUUGCUGAUGAUCCUAGGACCAGCUCUGCUAAGGAUGGAGAUGGGAAACAAGCUCCAGACGGCUCGGCUCAGCCGAGUAUCAAAGGUGCUACUGACGACUCUCUAGGAAAUCAAGGCGACAAUUCUCAAGGAGUCCAUGGAGUACAAGGUGAUGGGACGCAUGGAGUUCAAGGCGAUGGUGCUCAGGGGCCGCAAGGAGGAAAUCUUAAUCAGAAUAAUAAUGUGGCACAGGAUUUUUUCAAUAACUUCCAAGAUCGGGUUGAUUACGCUGUGCAUCAUGCUUUGAUCAAUCAGUCUGGGGUAUUAGUCAAUACCUUAUCAAACAUGAUGAAGUCAAUAGCCGAUAGUUUAAUAGCUGAGCAUCAGGCUGUAGGCCCGGUUUAUUUGCAAGGAGGUGUCUUCCCAAAUUAUCGGUCUUUGAUCACCGAUGUUCAGCCAUCUACUCAGGUGGUUCCCUCAGUUGCACCCGCGACUCAGCCGACGGCGCCGGCAUCAACUCCCCUACGUGCUACAUCAGCUAUGGCGCCAGGACAGCCGAUGAACCCUCGGUUGUUAAUGAGAGAGCAUACACAGCAUAGUGGGCAGGUUGCGAAUUGGCCAACCCAAGAUCAGGUUGCUGCUAUGUUUUUGCCACCUCAACAUGUGGUCGAUCCAGUACAGCAGCAGCCGAUUCAGCAGACACCCCCAAUUCAGCAGGUUGUACAACCAAUCCAGCAACAGGUCGUGUAACCAGUUCAGCAGAAACCACCAAGGCAGCAGCCUCUGCAGCCGAUCCAACAGACUCUGUUAAGACAGCAAAUCGUUCAGCUGAUCCAGCACCAACGUUCAAUAAACGCAUCGGCCGGGUUUGCAACGCCUGGUGGUCAGCCUGUACAACAAUUUGUAAACCAAGUUGUCCCAGAACAUUUGGUUCACCACGUACAGCCGGAUGGCACAGUAAUACCUCAAGUUGUCCCUGAGCACUUGGUACACAACAUCCAGCCGAACCUUCACAAUUACCAAGGAGGUAACUUGAAUUAUCAAUAUCAGCCUCCUUCUCCGCAAGUCCAAUAUCAGCCAGGGGGAUUGGCUCAACCUCAGUUUGCGUCUUCAUACGGUCAGUUCGAGCCCAUGCAGCAACAGUCACAAGGAGCAUUUCAGCAACGACCGUGGGCUGAUGUGAUUGCUGACGUAAUGAGGGAACAGUUCGGGCUCAAACCAACAGAGACUGAAAGCUUGUAUCGGCAGCCUUACCCUGAGUGGUUUGAGAGAGUUCCUCUCCCCAAUCAAUUCAAAGUUCCGGAUUUCUCCAAAUUCUCGGGACAAGAUGGUGUGUCAACUUAUGAGCACAUUAGCCGAUUCUUGGCCUAGUGUGGUGAAGCAUCGGCUGUAGACGCUCUGAAGGUUAGGUUAUUCUGGUUAUCUUUAUCUGGAUCGGCUUUUACUUGGUUUUCCUCUUUGCCGUAUGGGUCGAUCAAUAGUUAGGCCGAUUUGGAGAAGCAAUUCCACAACUAUUUCUACAGUGGGGUUCAUGAGAUGAAGUUAUCUGACUUAACAGCGAUUAAGCAGCGGCAUGAUGAACCUGUGCACGAGUAUAUUCAGAGGUUUGGGGAGAUGAGGAACAAAUGCUUCAGCUUGAGUUUAACUGAUGCCCAGUUAGCCAAUCUGGCCUUUCAGGGUAUGAUUGCUCCGAUUAGGGAGAAAUUCUCGUCUGAAGACUUUGAUAGCUUGUCACAUCUGAUACAGAAGGUAACCUUGCAUGAGCAUAGGUUUGCAGACGUUAGGAAUAGCUCUAAGAAGGUUAAUCAUGUUUGCCCGUACAUGUAUGGGUCGGAUGAUGAUGAGGACGAUUCUGAAAUAGUUGCAGCUGAAUGGGUCAGGAGUAAAAAGGUCAUACCAUGCCAAUGGGUAAAAAGUUCUGGAAAAGAGGAGAAGUAUGACUUUGAUAUUACUAAAGCUGACAAGAUCUUUGAUCUGCUACUCCGAGAGAAGCAAAUUCAACUUCCUGCUGGUCAUACAAUCCCAUCGGCUGAGGAAUUAGGCAAAAAGAGAUAUUGCAAAUGGCAUAAUUCUAGGUCUCAUUCUACUAACGAUUGCAAAGUUUUUAGACAGCAGAUUCAGGUGGCCAUUGAGGGGGGAAAGAUUAGGUUUGAUGAUUUCAAAAAGCCGAUGAAGGUCGAUGGUAAUCCUUUUCCGGUUAACAUGGUGCAUACAGCUGGCCAAACAGCCGAUAGGGUCCGUACAAAGGGGUUUCAGGUGAAUUCAGCAAAGAUUAUCAACAAAUAUCAGAGGAAGUAUGACAAGCAGCAGGAGAAGCAUUAUGAAGAAUACGAUGAUGGUUUUGAUCCUCAUUAGGGUUGUGAGUUCUUUAGAUUCUGCUGGAAUGAAGGAAUGAGGUUGCAUCUAUUGAAAACUGCCCUGGGUGCAGUGAUAUCGUCGAGAGCUCAAGCCGGUCAUAUAAUAGGGGUAAUCGGCUAAGGCAGACAAGAGUUUCUGUUCAUCAAAGAUUGGGUCCGGUAAAUCAAGAUCGUGGCCAAGAGGACGAUGUCGUCAGGAAGAACCAAUGGUGUCCUUUUGGUAUUUUCACGAAGAAUCAAAAGAGAAGGGUGUCACGACCGGAAAUAACCCAACAGGCGUUCCUUACGUGCGUGCAUUAAUCCUUGUCCCAGGAGGCAAGGUACACCAAAAGUUGAUACAAUUCAGAGUUUAACAAGCGGAAGCGUAAAGAGUUAAUUUAUUACAUGGGCAGCGAAGGCCCAGCACACACAGAGACAAACGAGAAACAGCGGAAGACUAGGGCGACGACCACAGGCACUUGACGGCAGGCACGAGCUAGACACCAAAGCCUUCAUCCUCCAGGAACUCCUCUUCUGGGGUUGGGAAAAAUUGAGCAAGACUGAGUACAACCACCGUACUCAACAAGACACACCCACAAGUGCAGAAUAAAUGCAAGGGAGUACAAGGGAGUUAUAAUAUAAAGGGUUAGGGUUUGCAGUAAACAGCAUUUAAAGAUAUUUAGUUGCUCAAAGCUAUUUUGUAAACACGAUUCUAAAACUAUACAAUAUUAUUUAUCAAGGCCGUGAACCCACACGAACCUGCCUUAACCCAAGGCCUACGAUGAUUCAGACCGAACUGGCAACCCGACCCUGGGUCCCAGCUCGUCCCAAGCCAACCCAGGCCAACCAUUCCACAUUUUAGUUGUUAAGCAGGUUUUAAGAAUUAAAACACUAACUUGGGUACAUUGCUCGGGUUGCCCAUAACCGAGGGCGCGGCUAUUCGAAUAGGUUUUACUCUGAUUAGAGGUGUACAUCUUUACCCACAAGACACAUCUUCCUCACGUGUAACCACGUGCCACAUACCACCACGGUAUACAGACGGAAGACGUGACAUAGUUUCCAACCCAUCCUAGCCAUAGACAAGAGUACCGACCCAAUCCCACCUACGGCCGGAACACCCGGGACAGGCAGGCAGGACUGAGCCCCUAGCAGCAGGACACCGGCCCUGUGCCAUGACAUCUCGACUACCGGGCCGCAGCUCGUGUAGCCUUCAUUUGCCCUGGAGAAUGUCCAUCGACCCCCGACUUCAUCCAUCUCCAUCCGUGUACUUUUGUUUAUAACCAGACUGAGCCACAAACUAAGCCUUACCCACUAGACAUGUGGAAGUACGGUAGUGCUUUGCAACAGAGGCCCGAAGACCGGUCCUUAUAUGGCCGAGGUGCUACUAUCAAAACCAUGCACCCCGAGCCCAGCCUAAAACCAUUUUUGGGGAUUUUGAAUAGAGGGGGAGGUGUGAAUCCAAUUCCACAAUGAUCCAACAAUUCCAGUGUGUCCAGGUGAUAUGAAUAUUCCCAAAGUCUAGAGUUGUAAAACCACCUAAUGUUACCUAAUUAAAAGUGAAGCAUCUACCUAUAAUCAUACUAGUGAUCCCAUGAGUAGAGUGUCCACUAGUAGGGGUUUUGUUUAAUCUAGGGUGAACAAGGAAAUAAUAACAAUAACAAUAAUAAUAAGGUCAUAACAAAGGUAAAUAGGCAUGGCUAAAUAAAACAGUGAUAACGCGGGAAUUUUAAAUAAAGCGAUAAUGCAAUAAUUUAAAUCAACAUAAUUUUACAAACUGGGAUUCAAUAUGUUCAAAGAUGAUGUGACUUGCCUUGCUCGCUUUCCCAAACGCCGGCUUCAACUUCCACGAAGAGCGGAUCUUCCGAAGCUGCAGCGUCUACACGACCAACGGAAAAGAAAAGGCUUUUACUCUACUAAACUCCAUAUAACAAGCAGAAACAAAGCACAAAAAUGGGUUCCUGACUUCUUAAGGAAAAAUUAGAGACUUGAACGGUCCAAUUCCGAGUUCAAAUGGCCAAGUUAUGGCUAUUUGAAGUUUAUAUGCUCUUUAAAUGGAUAUUUACGAAUUUCUUCAUUUAAAUUUUUAAUUUAAAAUCGGGUUUAUUGCGUCAGCCGAGGGGAGGGACGCGCGGACCGGGUCCACGGGAGUGGGGCCCACGCGGCAGCCUCACGGUCCACGGUGGACCGGGUGCACGCGGCUUACGCCGGCCGGCGCCGUGGGUCCCACGCGUCAGCCGCACCCGAGGGCGCGAGCGGCUGACGGCCGGGCCCCACAUGGCAGCCGCGGGCACGGCCGACGGGGAGGCGGCGCGCCCGCACCCCGAUGGUCGCCGGCGGCGGCCACCGGCGCGGCGGAGCGGCGCCCGAGAGAGGGGAGGGAAGGGGGAAACGAAAUGGGCGGUCCAUGGCUCACCCCGAGUCGACGACGACGACGGGAACGGCGACCGAAGCGGAGAGAGGCGGCGGCGCGGCUCGGGUCAACGAGGAUGGCGGCGUUCCGGCGGUCGGCGGGCGAAACGGAGGAGUGGACGGAGGAGUACAAGGGGAUAAUAAUAUAGGGGUUAAGUUUUGCAGUAAAUGGCAUUUAAAAGUCACUUAGUUUCCCAAAGCCAUUUUAUAAAGACGAUCCUAGAGCUACACAGUAUUAUUAAUCAAGGCCGUGAACCCACACGAACCUGCCUUAACCCAAGGCCUACGAUGAUUCAGACCGAACUGGCAACCCGACCCUGGGUCCCAGCUCGUCCCAAGCCAACCCAGGCCAACCAUUCCACAUUUUAGUUGUUGAGCAAAUUUUAAGAAUUAGAACACUGACUUGGGUACAUUGCUCGGCUUGCCCACAACCGAGGGCGCGGCUAUUCGAAUAGAUUAUACUCUGAUCAAAGGUGUACAUCUUUACCCACAAGACACAUCUUCCUCACGUGUAACCACGUGCCACAUACCACCACGGUAUACAGACGGAAGACGUGACAUAGUUUCCAACCCAUCCUAGCCAUAGACAAGAGUACCGACCCAAUCCUUCCUACGGCCGGAACCCCCGGGACAGGCAGGCAGGACUGAGCCCCAAGCAGCAGGGCACCAACCCUCUGCCAUGACAUCUCGACUACCGGGCCGCAGCUCGUGUAGCCUUCAUUUGCCCUGGAGAAUGUCCAUCGACCCCCGACUUCAUCCAUCUCCAAUCCGUGUACUUUUGUUUAUAACCAGACUGAGCCACAAACUAAGCCUUACCCACUAGACAUGUGGAAGUACGGUAGUGCUUUGCAACAGAGGCCCGAGCUUAAUCCUUAUAGUGGCCGGGGUGCUACUUCCCACAACUGGCAUGCACCCAAACCCCACCGAAAACAGGUUUUAGGGGUUUUGAAAGAGGAAGAGAGGUGUAUGUCCAAGUCCACAUUAAACCAACAAUUCCAUAGUGUCCAAAUGAUAUGAGAAUUCCCAAAGUCUAAAGUUAUAAAAACCACCUAAUGUUGUCCUAUUAAACAGCGAAGCAUCUACCUAAAUUCAUACUAGUGGAACCAUGAAUAUAAUGUCCACUAGUUGGGGUUUUGUUUAUUCUAGGGUGAACAAGGUAAUAGUAACAAUAGCAAAUAAUAAUGUCUUAACAAUGAUAAAUAGGCAUGGCUAAAUAAAACAGUGAUAACGCGGGAAUUUAAAUAAAGCGGUAAUGCAUUAAUUUAAAUCAAAAUAAUUUUAUAAACUGGGAUUCAAUAUGCUCAAGGAUGAUGUGACUUGCCUUGCUCGCUUUCCCAAACGUCGGCUUCUACUUCCACGAAGAGCGGAUCUUCCGAAGCUGCAGCGUCUACACGACCGACGGAAAAGAAAAGGCUUUUACUCUACUAAACUCCACAUAACAGCAGAAACAAAGCACAAAAAUGGGUUCUUGACUUCUUAAGGAAAAAUUAGAGACUUGAACGGUCCAAUUCCGAGUUCAAAUGGCCAAGAUAUGGCCAUUUGAAGUUUAUAUGCUCUUUAAAUGGAUAUUUGCGAAUUUCUUCAUUUAAAUUUUAAUUAAAAACGGAUUUAUUGCGUCAGCCGAGAGAGAGGGCGCGCGGACCAGGUCCACGGGAGUGGGGCCCACGCGUCAGCCUCUCGGUCCACGGUGGACCGGGUGCACGCGACUGGCGCUGACCGGCGCCGUGGGUCCCGCGCGUCAGCCGCACCCGCGGGCGCGGGCGGCUGACGGCCGGGCCCCACAUGGCAGCCGCGGGGCGCGCCCGAAGGCGGCCUCGCCGGCACGGCCGACGGGAGGGGACGCGCCCGCGCCCCGAUGGUCGCCGCCGGCGACCAACGGCGCGGCGGAGCGGCACCCGAGAGAGAGGAGGGAAGGGGGAAGCGAGCGGAGCGGUCCACGGCUCACCCCGGGACGACGAGGGCGGCGGAAACGACGACCGGAGCGGAGGAAGACGGCGGCGCGGCUCGGGUCGACGAGGACGGCGGUGCUCCGGCGGUCGGCGGGCGAAACGGAGGCGCGGACGAGGUCGACGAGGACGCGGCGAAGCCGAUGGAGGUGACGCCGAGUCGGGAGGAAGUCCGGAGCGACGGCGGCGGCGAACCGGAGCUCGUCGGCGACGGCGGAGAGAGAGGACGACGGCGCGGGCACGAAUCCGACGGGGAGGAGAGGCGGCGAGUGGCGGAAACGGAGGAGAGAGGCACGGGGAGCGAUUAUAUAGCACCGGGAGGGGGAGAGAGCGGCCGGAGGAGAAGGAAACGGGCGCGGAGAUCUCGGCCGCCAUUGAUGCGCCGGCGAGCUUUACGGGAAUGAAUCCGGAUGAAUCCGAGGGAGCAAGAGAGGGAAAAGAGGGGGGAAAGAGGGAGGGAAUCACGGGGAGUGAUUUCCCCCUCUUUAUGGCGCGCGGGGACGGCGGGAUGCGGCGGAAUCCGCGGCGGCGGCGGCGCUAGGGCACGGGCGGGCGGCGGACGCGGCGCGAGGAAGGCGAUGACAGGUGGGCCCCACCCGUCAGCGAGGGUGGCGGGCGGGCCCGCCUGUCAGCGGCGCGCGCGCGGGGAGGAGGCCGAUGGGCCGCGGGGGAGAGGAGAGAGAGGGAGGGAGAGUUGGGCCGAGCCGGCCCAAGAAGGGAAGGGGGGAAAAGAAGACUUUUAGGGAUUUUUCUUUUUAUAAACCUUUUUAACUUUGUUUAUUUCUUCUCAAUUAUUAUUUGUGCUCUGAAAAUUUCACUAAAAUUUGAGGGCUCCUUUUAGACCAAGGAGAACUUAACAAAAAUUCUCCGGGCCACAUUUGAAUUUUUCUUGUACGUAUUUUAGUGUUUACCAAUUUCUUUUCGAAUUUUAACUAAUUCUAUUAUUCCUUUUAGAGAAUGAUUUUUAAUUUCGGGAUGAAUUUAUCAGGACGUGACAAAUCCACCCCCCUUACAAGAAUCUCGUCCCCGAGAUUCGAGGAGGCUAGCAAGAAGAUAGGUUGGGCGGUCUUCUCUUCUUGUCUGACUUCUUCCGCCGCGUCUUUUAUAACAAACUUGCCUAGCAAAACUUCUCCACUCUGGACUGCUUGGCUCGAUCUCCUAUUGCAGAUGGAAUCUUCUCUUCACCUGACUUGUCCAUGGUUGAACCUUUAGCUGACUUCGACUGGGUUGCGGCACUUGAAGAUGGGGCUUCAGUUCCAGAACUUUGCAUAGUUCAUAUCUUUGGAGUCAACCUCAUACAAGUUACCCACUUCAUGUCAUGCGUCGAGAUCAGCUCGUCAUUACUAAGAUACCAUGCUUGUCAUUUGCUUCUAACUCGCCACCAACUGCCUCAUAUUAGCUUUCCUGGUCUCCGGGUGAUAGCUACUUCUGCUAUUUGAUGCAAGGGUCGAUAACUUUGCCUUUGAAUUAUGCUUCCCAAGAGAACCAACUUAUCCCACUUGAUAUACUUUGACGUCUUCCCAAAUAGUUUUACUGCUGGACUUCUUAUUGUCUGUUCGUUAUCCGGCCAAAUUUGAAGCUUCGUUGUUAGAUGUGAUUUUACUCUGACCUUUGUAGGCUAUCUUCGAACAUAUCACUUGGUUCAUAACUGGGAAUAGCUCCCACGAACAAGCAACUCAGAUUCGCUUUCUUUAUGUUCAGUUUACUUUCCGCGAUUCUCUUCAUGUUGUCAUCAUUUAGCAUUCAACGUAUUCCUGUGCACCUUCAGCCUUGAUGUGUUCUUUCUCGAUGGAUCGAUUGCUAGGAAAGUGCGUUGAGCGAUACUAGUGCAAGUGCUUAUAUUCUAGUAGCAUCUGAUACAAAGCCCAAGGUUGAACCGAGCUUUAGAUUCCACUGUUCAGGUUUUACUUCUUGACUUCUUGGUCAUGUCACAAAGGUUUCCAUCCUUGUCCCCAUAGAAGUACUUCUACCUGCGGUCAUCUCUCUUACUCGUGAAUUCGCCUACUUUAAUGACAGGGCAACUGUCGUAGGGUUGUUUGCUAUCGGGAGUCUUCCUCGAGUGACACAAAUCAUGGUUCUCGUUAUCCUUUAUCAAUCACCUUUCGACCUACUUCUUUUCCCAGUAACCAAACAUCUUUUCCGAUCUCUUCCAUUAAUCACCUUUCGACCUUUCUCAACCAGGUACUCUUCGCUCCGGGUGUUGAGGAUGCUUCUGGGGCAAUGAGGUGCUUGGGCGUGCUGUCUUUCAGAGAAACCUUGAAGUAGUUCGUCAAAAGCUAGACUGACGAUUGUUGCCUUUGAUCCGAAGAGACACAUCUGAAACUCUUAGUCCAAACAAAUGCCUCUUUGGUUGAUCACUUGAUUUUCUUCGCCAUCAAUCGCCAGGCUAUUUGAUUCCUAACAGAUUAUGGGUUUACGGAAAUGAGACCCUAGGUCUCCCUAAUCAACAACAAAAUGUGCACAACUCACAGCACUUGCACUCUUAACAUGGAUCCUUCAUAAGCUUAUCAAACUCAUUCAUUAUCUCAUGUUUCUCUGUUAUUACAUGAUUGACGGGGAACAACUAUAAAACAAAAGUAUUUGAACACUGAUAUAAGAGUAUUAUGGUUGCUUUUGACUAGCGCUAGGCUUAUCAGGUACUGCAUUUGCUCCAGUGACCACUUGGCGACUGGCAUGUCUGCUUCCUUAACAGGUACUACAGUUUGUAACAGACAAUAACUUUCUUACGCUCGGGUUCUUCAUCUUGUACUUGAUUUCUUUGGCUGCUGUGCUGGAACAUCCAAAGGUACAAUGCCGAUACUGGCCUCUGUCUUGUCAACUGAUGGCUGGGGCUGAAAUUGAGCAUUGACACCUUGUGGUAAUGCACUCGCUGGAGUUGGAGCUGUUGCAACGCGGUCUAUAGGACUGCUUCGGGAUGCAUGGAUGACAAUUCGCUGAGGAGCAAGCUUCUGAUUGCAAGGAGUUGCGUGGACUGACGUGCUGGCAGCUAUGUUUCUCGGUCUGGGGCACUUGUCGGCGAAAUGACCCAUUCCUUGACAAUUGAAGCAACAGAUAUCUUCCCGGACUCGGCAUUUUCUUUUCUAUCAUCAGGUUGGUUAUUAACUCGAGGUUAGAACAUAGUUCCUCUGAAAUGAGACCCUAGGUCUCCUUUGACAGUAAACAAUUAUACACAUAAUUCCAUAUCAGCAUCUUCCAAAAUAACCCUCCUAGAACUUGCUUUUAUUACACAUGUCUCCCUUAUUACAUGAAUACAAGGCCCUGCCUUAAACAAAAAGGGAAGGUGCUUAACAUCGGUACAUUGUAUCCUCAACAGGAAUCAUCCAUAAACAUAGCAAGCUCACUGUUUAUAGUCAUGAAUAUAUUUAUUUAUUACAUGAUUGCUGCAAACUUUCUAUUACACAAUGAUAAGUAGCAAACUGUAAACCACAAACAUGGCUGCUCAUUUUGAUUCCGGAGAGAUAUAGCUGGCAUUGUUCUAGUGACUGCAUCCUUGAUUGGUUCUGUGAUGAUGUGAUAGGACUACAUAAUGCUAUCAUUCACAGGAGAAGCUUCCUUCUGAUUGCUGGUUGAAGCGGAUGACGGUCUUCUGCUUGGUAUCGCCCUCCGGAGGUUGAUUGCCCUUUGCUUGGCCUGGAGUAGGUCGGGGAGAGACACAACUUCUUCCAUCGACGACAAUUCUUUGCUGAGGCUGUCGGUGCAGAGAAUGGUUGGUGCUGAAGGUAUUAUCGCUAUGAUUUACUACAGAGUCAGGUGCAGCAGGAGGAGCAUUGGUGCUGUGGAUGAUAUCGUCGAUAUUGCUGUUGGAGCUGACUAGCUGAUGAGACAAUCGUAGGGUUGUUCGUUGGAUUUCUGCGGUCUUGGUCAACAACACACUGAGUUGGCAAUCCUUGGGCACAUGGUUUGUACCUUCGCAUAGAAAACAUGUGACCUUGCGGGUGGGACACUCCCCUGGUGGAUGGUCUUCUUCACAAUGAGGGCAGAGUGUGAGACACAUGCUAGCAAUGUGUCCAAUUUCUCCACAACGGGUGCAUGCCUUUGAUUCCAUCUCUUCCUCGCCGAGAUGUCGGGGAGACUCAUCUUCAUCACCCGAGGAGACUUGAUCUGACCCUUCACUAUCAGAUACUCUGCCGCCAUGGCUUAGGAGGUGCUGGGUCAACUGUCGUGCACCUCGGAAGGUAUUUCCUCUUUGACGUCUAGGAAUAGUUAUCCCUGCUGGAGGCCAUUCGGUGCUGGUAAUAGUCAUCUUACGUACUUCUUCUUCAGUUCGCAUCGGUGCUUUUCUCUUCUGAUUCUUACUCUUCUUGCCUUUGGCUUGCUUCGUACGUGACCCCACGUGGUACGAAAGGCUAGGAGGAAAGCAUUUCCUUGGAUUCAAUGGAUUCUCUCCGUUGAGCUCUCUACUUUGCACACUAGGCUGCAAGCUUGACUUGGUGUGAGGAGGCUGGUUUAGCGAUGUCUGCCCUGCUAAACCAAAGGAAGGAGCUUCUUUGGUAUAUACCCAUGGACAAUUCAGGGCAUAGUGUCCUUGCUCUCUACAAUCCUGACAAAAGGGGACAUCCUCUUCUGGCAUUGGAAGCUUAUUGACCUGGGUGGCAAAUGCUCGAUCAAACACAUACUGAUUUUGGUCUUGACUUCCAACCAAUGGUAGCUGUGAACCAAGCAGCAUGCUCGGAAUGGACCAAGGGUGUGCCCUUGUUAACUCUCUUGAGGCCAGUGGUGGAUUGAGUUGAAAACUUGAGUUACUUGAGGCAUACCUGCUGACAUUCUUUCCUUUUUCUCUGUUAAACAUCUGUUACAGGGAUUGAGGUGAGAGAGGAAACAAGCCAGGAAAGAAUAGACCAGAACUAGAGACAGGACCUUAAAGGAACUAACUCUUCUUGUUGAUGUGUUGUUUGUUUUGCUUAUUCUGCAAGUUGAUUAAGCAAACAACCUAGCAUGGUUACAUCACACCCCACUGAUGCAAACCACGCGCUACACACACAAGCAAGGAAAACACACGACUAACGACUCUACCCUAGAGGGUGGCUUAGGUUCUGUGACGGGUUCUCCAAGAUCUUCACUCCUGCUUCACAGCUGGCUUCACUGCUUCCUUUGCUUAGCGGAUCCAACAGCCUUCUGGAGCUUCGGCAAACAAUUGGCGUCAUCUUCUUCUUCGCAAAACUAACCAUCUAGUACUAGUUGAAAUCCGAAGAAGGAAGAAGGGAGUAAACAUUUUGCAAAUAGCAUUAGGGAAAGGAGGAAAAAGGAACUUUCGCAAAUAGUUUUAUUUAUAAAAUAUGUCCUUAGGUUUUAUCCACUUGGCUUAUCCUACAGUCGAGAUGGCUCUGAUACCAUCUUGUCGCGACCGGGAAAAUUGCCUUUUCCCGAACGCUAGUGUAUUAAUCCCCGUCCCAGGAAAAGCCGGGGUACACCACACAAACAUGAUAUAAAACACACAUCUUUAUUAUAUCGAUAAUAUAUACAUUAUUACAAAGGCGCUUAAGGCCUGACAAUCAAAAAUAAACAGCAGCGGACUAGCGGGCCUACGGCUCCAUCUUCACAGGCGCUCAACUGGGGUAUAAGCCAAGACUCCACCUAAGACUUCUUCUCCAAAGCUUCUCUUACUGAAGGGGGGGAGAAAGAUAGAGCAAGAAUGAGUACAACCACAGUACUCAGCAAGCCACACCGGAGACGCACAAUUAAUGCAAAGGAGUACAAGGGGAUAAUAAUAUAGGGGUUAAGUUUUGCAGUAAAUGGCAUUUAAAAGUCACUUAGUUUCCCAAAGCCAUUUUAUAAAGACGAUCCUAGAGCUACACAGUAUUAUUAAUCAAGGCCGUGAACCCACACGAACCUGCCUUAACCCAAGGCCUACGAUGAUUCAGACCGAACUGGCAACCCGACCCUGGGUCCCAGCUCGUCCCAAGCCAACCCAGGCCAACCAUUCCACAUUUUAGUUGUUGAGCAAAUUUUAAGAAUUAGAACACUGACUUGGGUACAUUGCUCGGCUUGCCCACAACCGAGGGCGCGGCUAUUCGAAUAGAUUAUACUCUGAUCAAAGGUGUACAUCUUUACCCACAAGACACAUCUUCCUCACGUGUAACCACGUGCCACAUACCACCACGGUAUACAGACGGAAGACGUGACAUAGUUUCCAACCCAUCCUAGCCAUAGACAAGAGUACCGACCCAAUCCUUCCUACGGCCGGAACCCCCGGGACAGGCAGGCAGGACUGAGCCCCAAGCAGCAGGGCACCAACCCUCUGCCAUGACAUCUCGACUACCGGGCCGCAGCUCGUGUAGCCUUCAUUUGCCCUGGAGAAUGUCCAUCGACCCCCGACUUCAUCCAUCUCCAAUCCGUGUACUUUUGUUUAUAACCAGACUGAGCCACAAACUAAGCCUUACCCACUAGACAUGUGGAAGUACGGUAGUGCUUUGCAACAGAGGCCCGAGCUUAAUCCUUAUAGUGGCCGGGGUGCUACUUCCCACAACUGGCAUGCACCCAAACCCCACCGAAAACAGGUUUUAGGGGUUUUGAAAGAGGAAGAGAGGUGUAUGUCCAAGUCCACAUUAAACCAACAAUUCCAUAGUGUCCAAAUGAUAUGAGAAUUCCCAAAGUCUAAAGUUAUAAAAACCACCUAAUGUUGUCCUAUUAAACAGCGAAGCAUCUACCUAAAUUCAUACUAGUGGAACCAUGAAUAUAAUGUCCACUAGUUGGGGUUUUGUUUAUUCUAGGGUGAACAAGGUAAUAGUAACAAUAGCAAAUAAUAAUGUCUUAACAAUGAUAAAUAGGCAUGGCUAAAUAAAACAGUGAUAACGCGGGAAUUUAAAUAAAGCGGUAAUGCAUUAAUUUAAAUCAAAAUAAUUUUAUAAACUGGGAUUCAAUAUGCUCAAGGAUGAUGUGACUUGCCUUGCUCGCUUUCCCAAACGUCGGCUUCUACUUCCACGAAGAGCGGAUCUUCCAAAGCUGCAGCGUGUACACGACCGACGGAAAAGAAAAGGCUUUUACUCUACUAAACUCCACAUAACAGCAGAAACAAAGCACAAAAAUGGGUUCUUGACUUCUUAAGGAAAAAUUAGAGACUUGAACGGUCCAAUUCCGAGUUCAAAUGGCCAAGAUAUGGCCAUUUGAAGUUUAUAUGCUCUUUAAAUGGAUAUUUGCGAAUUUCUUCAUUUAAAUUUUAAUUAAAAACGGAUUUAUUGCGUCAGCCGAGAGAGAGGGCGCGCGGACCGGGUCCACGGGUGUGGGGCCCACGCGUCAGCCUCUCGGUCCACGGUGGACCGGGUGCACGCGACUGGCGCUGACCGGCGCCGUGGGUCCCGCGCGUCAGCCGCACCCGCGGGCGCGGGCGGCUGACGGCCGGGCCCCACAUGGCAGCCGCGGGGCGCGCCCGAAGGCGGCCUCGCCGGCACUGCCGACGGUAGGGGACGCGCCCGCGCCCCGAUGGUCGCCGCCAGCGACCAACGGCGCGGCGGAGCGGCACCCGAGAGAGAGGAGGGAAGGGGGAAGCGAGCGGAGCGGUCCACGGCUCACCCCGGGACGACGAGGGCGGCGGAAACGACGACCGGAGCGGAGGAAGACGGCGGCGCGGCUCGGGUCGACGAGGACGGCGGUGCUCCGGCGGUCGGCGGGCGAAACGGAGGCGCGGACGAGGUCGACGAGGACGCGGCGAAGCCGAUGGAGGUGACGCCGAGUCGGGAGGAAGUCCGGAGCGACGGCGGCGGCGAACCGGAGCUCGUCGGCGACGGCGGAGAGAGAGGACGACGGCGCGGGCACGAAUCCGACGGGGAGGAGAGGCGGCGAGUGGCGGAAACGGAGGAGAGAGGCACGGGGAGUGAUUAUAUAGCACCGGGAGGGGGAGAGAGCGGCCGGAGGAGAAGGAAACGGGCGCGGAGAUCUCGGCCGCCAUUGAUGCGCCGGCGAGCUUUGCGGGAAUGAAUCCGGACGAAUCCGAGGGAGCAAGAGAGGGAAAAGAGGGGGGAAAGAGGGAGGGAAUCACGGGGAGUGAUUUCCCCCUCUUUAUGGCGCGCGGGGACGGCGGGAUGCGGCGGAAUCCGCGGCGGCGGCGGCGCUAGGGCACGGGCGGGCGACGGACGCGGCGCGAGGAAGGCGAUGACAGGUGGGCCCCACCCGUCAGCGAGGGUGGCGGGCGGGCCCGCCUGUCAGCGGCGCGCGCGCGGGGAGGAGGCCGAUGGGCCGCAGGGGAGAGGAGAGAGAGGGAGGGAGAGUUGGGCCGAGCCGGCCCAAGAAGGGAAGGGGGGAAAAGAAGACUUUUAGGGAUUUUUCUUUUUAUAAACCUUUUUAACUUUGUUUAUUUCUUCUCAAUUAUUAUUUGUGCUCUGAAAAUUCCACUAAAAUUUGAGGGCUCCUUUUAGACCAAGGAGAACUUAACAAAAAUUCUCCGGGCCACAUUUGAAUUUUUCUUGUACGUAUUUUAGUGUUUACCAAUUUCUUUUCGAAUUUUAACUAAUUCUAUUAUUCCUUUUAGAGAAUGAUUUUUAAUUUCGGGAUGAAUUUAUCAGGACGUGACAGUAUUUUAGAGUCGUUUUGGGACGUGACAAAGGGUUCAAAGAUUGAGGAACAGGGAGCGCCUCCAGGAGGUUGAACAAGAAAUUAAUCAUCGGCUGAGGAAAGCGAAGCCAAGGCAGGAGUGGUGUGUUAAGAAUCAAGUUCCUGUAGCCGAUGAUGUUGCAGCCAAUGAGGCAAAGAGGUUGGCAAAAGCGAAGAGUGUUGUGACGGCACCAACUAACAUGGUCUUUACCUUGCCAGCCGAAUUCCGGAUCGAUCAAGCCGAUGUCAACGAGGUGGAAGAGGAAUCGGCUAAGUUGGUUCUGUCACCAGAACAGGCAGUGUUCGAGAAACCCGAGGGGACAGAGAAUCGGCAUCUUAAACCAUUGCAUCUUAAACCAUUGUAUAUAAACGGCUACGUCAAUGGGAAGCCGAUGUCUAAAAUGAUGGUUGAUGGUGGGGCUGCGGUAAAUUUGAUGCCUUAUGCUACGUUCAAGAAGUUAAGUAGAAAUGCCGAGGAUCUCAUCAAGACAAAUAUGGUGCUCAAAGACUUUGGUGGUAAUCCAUCGGAAACCAAAGGUGUUCUGAAUGUGGAGCUGACGGUCGGCAGUAAGACUAUUCCUAUUACGUUUUUUGUCAUCGAUGAGAAGGGUUCUUACAGCUUGUUGCUUGGAAGGGAUUGGAUUCAUGCUAAUUGUUGCAUUCCUUCAACUAUGCAUCAAUGUUUGAUUCAAUGGCAAGGCGACAAGAUAGAGAUCGUGCCAGCCGACAGGUCAGUUAAUGUUGCCAGUGCCGAUUUAGCUCUUUGGGAGAUGGAUGGCCUUGAUUGUUUAUCUGGAAAAGUCUGGGAUGGAGAUUUUCUAAAAGUGUCCGAUUCUGAUAUACAGCCAAUUGAAGAUGGAGAACCCAAGCUAUUGUUUUGAGGGCGUCGUGGAGGGUUCGAAUGUCUACAGUAAGGAUACAGUAGAUGUCACGACCGGAAAUAACCCAACGGGCGUUCCUUACGUGCGUGCAUUAUUCCUUGUCCCAGGAGGCAAGGUACACCAAAAGUUGAUACAGUUCAGAGUUCAACAAGCGGAAGCGUAAAUAGUUAAUUUAUUACAUGGGCGGCGAAGGCCCAGCACACACAAAGACAAACGGGAAACAGCGGAAGACUAGGGCGACGACCACAGGCGCUUGAUGGCAGGCACGAGCUAGACACCAAAGCCUUCAUCUUCCAGGGGCUCCUAUUCUAGGUUUGGGAAAAAUUGAGCAAGACUGAGUACAACCACCGUACUCAACAAGACACACCCACAAGUGCAGAAUAAAUGCAAGGGAGUACAAGGGGGUUAUAAUAUAAAGGGUUAGGGUUUGCAGUAAACGGCAUUAAAAGACACUUAGUUGCUCAAAGCUAUUUUGUAAACACGAUUCUAUAACUAUACAAUAUUAUUAAUCAAGGCCGUGAACCCACACUAACCUGCCUUAACACAAGGCCUACGAUGAUUCAGACCGAACUAGCAACCCGACCCUGGGUCCCAGCUCGUCCCAAGCCAACCCAGGCCAACCAUUCCACAUUUUAGUUGUUAAGCAGGUUUUAAGAAUUAAAACACUAACUUGGGUACAUUGCUCGGCUUGCCCAUAACCGAGGGCGCGGCUAUUCAAAUAGAUUAUACUCUGAUCAGAGGUGUACAUCUUUACCCACAAGACACAUCUUUCUCACGUGUAACCACGUGCCACAUACCACAACGGUAUACGGACGGAAGACGUGACAUAGUUUCCAACCCAUCCUAAUCAUAGACAAGAGUAUCGACCCAACCCCACCUACGGCCGGAACCUCCGGGACAGGUAGGCAGGACUGAGCCCCUAGCAGCAGGACACCGGCCUCGUGCCACGACAUCUCGACUACCGAGCCGCAGCUCGUGUAGCCUUUAUUUGUCCUAGAGAUGUCCAUCGACCCCCGACUUCGUCCAUCUCCAUCCGUGUACUUUUGUUUAUAACCAGACUGAGCCACAAACUAAGCCUUACCCACUAGACAUGUGGAAGUAUGGUAGUGCUUUGCAACAGAGGCCCGAAGACCGGUCCUUAUAUGGCCGAGGUGCUACUAUUAAAACCAUGCACCCCGAGCCCAGCCUAAAACCAUUUUGAGGAUUUUGAAUAGAGGGGGAGGUGUGAAUCCAAUUCCACAAUAAUCCAACAAUUCCAUAGUGUCCAGGUGAUAUGAAUAUUCCCAAAGUCUAGAGUUGUAAAACCACCUAAUGUUGCCUAAUUAACCGGCGAAGCAUCUACCUAAAUUCUUACUAGUGGUACCAUGAGUAGAGUGUCCACUAGUUGGGGUUUUGUUUAACCUAGGGUGAACAAGGAAAUAAUAACAAUAACAAUAAUAAGGUCAUAACAAAGGUAAAUAGGCAUGGCUAAACAAAACAGUGAUAACGCGGGAAUUUAAAUAAAGCGAUAAUGCAAUAAUUUAAAUCAACAUAAUUUUAUAAACUGGGAUUCAAUGUGUUCAAGGAUGAUGUGACUUGCCUUGCUCGCUUUCCCAAACGUCGGCUUCAACUUCCAUGAAGAGCGGAUCUUCCGAAGCUGCAGCGUCUACACGACCAACGAAAAAGAAAAGGCUUUUACUCUAAUAAACUCCAUAUAACAAGCAGAAACAAAGCACAAAAAUGGGUUCUUGACUUCUUAAGGAAAAAUUUGAGACUUGAACGGUCCAAUUCCGAGUUCAAAUGGCCAAGUUAUGGUCAUUUGAAGUUUAUAUGCUCUUUAAAUGAAUAUUUGCGAAUUUCUUCAUUUAAAUUUUAAUUUAAAAAGGGUUUAUUGCGUCAGCCGAGGGGAGGGGCGCGCGGACCGGGUCCACGGGAGUGGGGCCCACGCAGCAGCCUCACGGUCCACGGUGGACCGGGCGCACCCGGGCUCGCACCGGCCGGCGCCGUGGGCCCCACGCGUCAGCCGCACCUAAGGGCGCGGGCGGCUGACGGCCGGGCCCCACGCGGCAGCCGCUAGGCGCACCCGGAGGCGGCCACGUCGGUGCGGCCGGCGGGAGGCGGCGCGCCCGCGCCCCUAUGGUCGCCGGCGGCGGCCAUAGGCACGGCGGAGCGGCGGCCGAGAGAGGGGAGGGAAAGGGGGAAACGAAACGGCGGUCCACGGCUCACCCCGGGUCGACGGCGACGACGAAAACGGCGACCGGAGCGAAGGAAGGCGGCGGCACGGCUCGGGUGGACGGGGUCGACGGUGCUCCGGCGGUCGACGAGCGAAACGGAGGGGUGGACGAGGUCGGCGAGGAUGCGGCGAAGCCGAAGGAGGCGGCGCCGAGGUGGGAGGUGGUCCGGGGCGACGACAGCGGCGGACCGGUGCUCGACGGCGACGGCGGAGAGAGAGAGCGACGGCGCGAGCUCGAUUCCGGCGGGGAGAGAGGGCGGUGAGUGGCGGAAACGGUGGUGGGGAGCUCGGGGAGGGUUUAUAUAGGGUUGGGAGUGAGAGAGGGCGGCCGGAGGAGGGGGAAAUGGGCGCGGGAGACCCGGCCGCCAUUAAUGGCGCCGGCGAGGUUAGGGGAGCGGUUUCCAAACGAAUCUGAGGGAGAGAGAGAGGGAAAAAUGGGGGGAAAGGGGGAGGGGAUCCCGGGGAAUAAUUCCCCCCUAUUGAUUGCGCGCGGGGAGGACGGGGGCGGCGGGAUUCGCGGCGGCGGCGGCGCUAGGGCGCGGGCGGGGCGGUGGGAGCGGCGGGAGGAAGGGGAUGACGGGUGGGCCCCACCCGUCAGCGAGGGUGGCGGGCGGGCCCGCCCGUUAGCAGCGCGCGCGCGGGGAGAGGCCGGAUGGGCCGCGGGGGAGAGGAGAGAGGGGGAGAGAGAUGGGCCGAGCCGGCCCAAGAGGGAGAGGGAGGGGAAGGGGACUUUUUAGAGUUUUUCUUUUUAUAAAAUCAUUUUAACUUUGUUUAUUUCUUAACAAUUAUUAUUUGUGCUAUGAAAAUUCCACUAAAAUUUAUUUACGCAUUUUAGGCUUUUAGGAAAUAUACAAAAAUCCUCCAAGCCUUAUUUGACUUUUAACUUUGCACAUUUUAAUUGUUGAAGGCUUGCACACAGAUUUUAAUUAUUCUAGGCAUAAUUUUAAGGAUAUAUUUUAGGGUCGUUUUGGGACGCGACAAACCUACCCCCCUUAAACGAAAUCUCGACCCCGAGAUUCGGAAAAACUGGCGAAGAGAUCGGGAUGGGCUGCCUUCAGCUCGUCUUCACGCUCCCAAGUAGCUUCUUCCUCGGCGUGGUUGCUCCAUUGGACCUUGCAAAAACGGAUACCCGAUUCCUGGUCCUGCGCUCCAUGGUGUCCAGGAUUUUCACUAGCCUCUCCACGUAGGUCAAGUCUUCGCGAACUUCAAUUUGCUCUGAGUCAGCCUGCUCGGAUGGCACUCGAAGACAUUUCUUGAGUUGCGACACACGGAACACAUCAUGCACGUUGCCCAAGGAGGCGGGCAGCUCCAACUGGUAAGCGACUUCUCCGCGUCGAGCAAUGAUACGGAAAGGACCCACAAACCGAGGUGCGAGCUUCCCUUUUGUCUGAAACCUGUGUACACCUCGCAAUGGCGUGACCCGAAGGUACACAAAAUCGUCCACUGCGAAUUCCAGAUUACGGCGACGGUUAUCUGCAUAACUUUUCUGCCGGGACUGUGCCACCUUUAGAUUAUCCCGAAUGGUUCUGACCUUCGCUUCAGCUUCUCUCAGGAUAUCAGUCCCGAACACUUGGCUUUCCCCAACUUGGUCCCACAAGAGCGGUGUCCGGCAUUUGCGUCCAUACAACGCUUCAUAAGGUGCCAUUUGUAUGCUGGCUUGGUAGCUGUUAUUGUAGGAGAACUCGGCAUAGGGGAGACUCUUAUCCCAGGUCUUCCCGAAAUCUAGGACACAUGCGCGAAGCAUAUCUUCUAGGAUCUGAUUUAGACGCUCGGCCUGUCCAUCUGUCUGCGGGUGAUACGCGGUGCUGAAAUUUAAUCGGGUACCCAGCUCUUCUUGGAGCUUCUUCCAAAAGUGAGAGGUGAAUUGGCUUCCCCUAUCAGAUACAAUUUUCUUAGGAACGCCAUGGAGACUCACGAUCCUAGCGAAGUAGAGCUCGGCUAGUUUGUUCCCUCUAUAGGUGGUCUUCAGAGGAAUAAACCGAGCUACCUUGGUUAGUCGGUCCACAACUACCCAUAUAGAAUCAUAUCCGCCUUGGGUUUUUGGAAGUCCGGUGAUGAAAUCCAUCCCAAUUUCAUCCCAUUUCCAUUCUGGUACUUGGAGAGGUUGGAGAAGUCCGGCCGGUCGUUGGUGCUCUGCCUUGACACGCUGGCACACAUCACAAAGGGCCACGAACUCUGCAAUUUCCCGCUUCAUACUAACCCACCAGUAUUUCCCUUUCAAGUCUAAGUACAUCUUCGUGCUGCCAGGGUGGAUGGAAUAAGGACUUUCGUGAGCUUCCUGAAGUAUCAGCUGUUUAAGUUCUCUGUCAUCUGGAACGCAUACCCGAUUUCCGUUCCAUAGGGUUCCGUGUUCAUCCUCUGUGAAACCAGCGGCUUUACCCUGUUUCAUAUUCUUGAGGAGUCCACACAUGUCCGGAUCAUUCUUCUGAGCCUCGCGGAUUUGAUCGAGCAAGGUAGGCUUGGCUUCCAACGUAGCCAAGAAUCCACGACCAACUAUGCUUAGGUUCAGGGCUUCCAUCUGUUGAUUAAGUUCGGGUGGAAUGCCACGGACGUUAAGAGUGUUGCAAUGGCUUUUUCGACUUAGAGCGUCGGCGACCACGUUGGCCUUACCAGGAUGAUAGUGAAUUCCCACAUCAUAAUCCUUGAUGAGUUCUAACCAUCUCCUCUGCCGAAGAUUCAGAUCCGACUGGGUGAAGAUGUAUUUCAAACUCUUAUGAUCAGUAUAUAUUUCACAGCGAUUCCCAAUGAGAUAGUGCCGCCAGAUUUUUAGAGCAUGAACCACCGCGGCUAAUUCCAAAUCAUGGGUAGGGUAGUUGCCUUCAUGAGGCCGUAGCUGGCGUGAGGCAUAGGCUACCACAUGACCUUCCUGCAUGAGCACGCACCCCAAUCCUUGGCGCGAAGCGUCACAAUACACCAUGAAGUCCUUGCGAGUAUGCGGUAAGAUUAAAACCGGCGAGGAAACCAGCUUUUCCUGGAGAGUUUGGAACGCCUUCUCGCAUUGCGGGCUCCACACAAAUUUCUCUUCUUUCUUCAACAACUUUGUCAUGGGUCGAGCGAUUUUGGAGAAGUUCUCGAUGAACCUCCGGUAGUAUCCUGCCAAACCUAAGAAGCUGCGAAUUUGAGUGACUGUCUUGGGUUGCUUCCAAUCAGUGACGGCGGUCACUGUUUCGGGGUCUACAGCAACUCCUUUAGCAGAUAUCACGUGCCCUAAGAAUUUGACUUCGGACAACCAGAACUCACACUUGCUAAGUUUGGCAUACAAUUGAUGUUCCCGCAACUUUCCCAACACCAGACGGAGAUGGUGCUGAUGGUCUUCCUCUGAUUGUGAGUACACCAGAAUGUCGUCAAUGAAAACCACAACAAACUUAUCCAAGUAUUCCAUGAACACUUUGCUCAUUAAGUUGACGAAGAAGGCAGGAGCAUUGGUUAAACCGAACGACAUCACCGUGAAUUCAUACAGUCCGUAUCGCGUGGUGAAUGCGGUCUUCGGGAUAUCUUCUUCACGGAUGCGCAACUGGUGAUAUCCGGAACGAAGAUCAAUCUUGGAGAAUACAGUGGCACCUUUAAGCUGAUCGAACAGAUCGUCGAUCCGGGGAAGAGAGUACUUGUUUUUGAUAGUAGCCUCAUUGAGAGCUCUGUAGUCAACGCACAUCCUCUUCGUCUUGUCUUUCUUCUCCACAAAGAUCACAGGAGCACCCCAGGGGGAAGUACUCGGCCAUAUAUACCCCUUUUCUUUCAACUCUUCCAACUGCUUCUUGACUUCGGCCAGUUCAUUUGCUGCCAUACGGUAGGGUCGCUUGUACAGAGGAGUGGUUCCUGGAGCAAGAUCUAUUCGGAACUCAAUCUUUCGCUUGGGCGGCAUACCUGGUAGUUCUUCCGGAAACACGUCUCCGAACUCUCUGACGAUGGGGGUUUCCGACAGUCCUAUCUGAUGAAGUUCUGAACUACUGACAGAGGUUGGGGGUGCAAAGAAAACAACCGGUUGUUCCGGCCCUCGGUACAGAGUGACAGUGCGUCUUGCACAAUCAACUACUCCUUGGAAUUGAGCCAACCAAUUCAUCCCAAGGAUCACAUCCAAGUUCUUGGUGUCUAGAAGAAUCAGAUCCGAGGGAAAAGGAAUUCCCUGAAUUUCUAUAGGAACGGCAGGGCUAUAAUACUUUGCUGUCAUAACCCCUCCAGGGGUGGUGAUGAGCAGAGGGUUCCUAAGCCUUUCUACCCCCAACUGAUUUCUCCCCACGAAUGGCACAGAUAUAAACGAGUGGGAAGCUCCAGAGUCGAACAAAAUGGUAGCAGGGAUGGAAUGAAUGAGGAACGUACCAACGAUGACGUCUGGAGUUGUCAGCACAUCCUCGGCAGUCACGUGGUUCACCCGACCCCGAAUGACAUCCUUACCACCGUUGUUGGGGCGGGGAGGCGCUUGGCCUUGCUGGCGCCUCGGCUUUGGGCAUUUAUCCGCAAAGUGCCCGGGCUCGAAGCAGUUGAAGCAUAGACGCUGCUGACCUUGAACGUCUCUGCGGCCUUGUCCAGGCUGCACGGCUGGCGUAGGAGGACGGGGCGCACGGGUCCCUUGCUGACUCUGCUGUUGCUGCGGCUGUGGGACGCGCACCACGAAUUGAGGUCGGGGCGCGGAGCGUGGUUGCUGCUGGUGUUGCUGCUGCUGCGAGGAGGAUCCCCCUGGAUAGGGAUUGGUGUAGUGGAUCCUUUGGUUAGCCCCCUGUUGGUGGCGGAAAUUCGCCAGGCGAUGCUUGUGCGACUCCAGUUCCUUGUGCUUGACUUCCAAGCGGAUGCUCUUGUCCACCAGACGUUGGAAAUCCGGAGAGUCCCCGGAGACUAGACGCACGGACAGCUCAGGGUCCAUUCCUGCCAAGAACUUCUCUUGCUUCUCCUCAUCUUCACGAACAUCCUCCGGGGCGUACCGGGCCAGGUUGUUAAACUCAUACAAAUACUCCAUCACGGAGCGGUUGCCUUGCUUCAACUCUCGGAAUUCCCUUUUCUUAAGGGCCAUGACUCCGGCGGGCACAUGGGUUCUCAGGAAAGCGGCGGUGAAGCGGGCCCAAGUAAUAGGCUGCCCCUCUGGCUGCGUUGCCUGGAAAUGGUCCCACCAUAGAGAUGCGGGCCCCUGCAGUUGGUGGGCGGCGAAGAUGACUUUCUCCUCAUCGCUGCACUGCACGGUGUCUAACUUUUUCCCCACGGCAUGCAACCAAUCCAACGCAUCCACGGGGUUAUUGGAGCUAGAGAAGGUAGGCGGAUGGAUGCGGAGGAACUCGGCGAGUUUAGAGUGUUGUGGGGGUGGUGGUGGAGCAUUAUGUUGUGGCGGAGUUUGGAUGUGGUGGAGGAAAGCAGCCAUCAUGUUGGCCUGCUGGGCUAGGAUUUGGGUGAGGAUGACGUUGGUGUCUGGUGGUGGUGGUGGAGGCGGGGGAGGAGGUGGAGGUGGGCUGCCAUGGUUGUUGUGGUUGCUGCCCUCGGGGUGACUGCCUUCACCGGUAGCAGCAUUUCUCCUGGUUGUCACCAUCUGAAAACCCCACACAGGACCAGCAAACAAAGAGAGCUGACAAUUAAAACUAACCACCCACGACUACCAUAAUUCUUGAAUUUCUUACUGCUAUUUGUCGCGUCCCAAAACGACCCUAAAAUAUAUCCUUAAAAUUAUGCCUAGAAUAAUUAAAAUCUGUGUGCAAGCCUUCAACAAUUAAAAUGUGCAAAGUUAAAAGUCAAAUAAGGCUUGGAGGAUUUUUGUAUAUUUCCUAAAAGCCUAAAAUGCGUAAAUAAAUUUUAGUGUAAUUUUCAUAGCACAAAUAAUAAUUGUUAAGAAAUAAACAAAGUUAAAAUGAUUUUAUAAAAAGAAAAACUUUAAAAAGUCCCCUUCCCCUCCCUCUCCCUCUUGGGCCGGCUCGGCCCAUCUCUCUCCCCCUCUCUCCUCUCCCCCGCGGCCCAUCCGGACUCUCCCCGCGCGCGCGCCGCUGACGGGCGGGCCCGCCCGCCACCCUCGCUGACGGGUGGGGCCCACCCGUCAUCCCCUUCCUCCCGCCGCUCCCGCCGCCCCGCCCGCGCCCUAGCGCCGCCGCCGCCGCGAAUCCCGCCGCCCCCGUCCUCCCCGCGUGCAAUCAAUAGGGGGGAAUUAUUCCCCGGGAUCCCCUCCCCCUUUCCCCCCAUUUUUCCGUCUCUCUCUCCCUCAGAUUCGUUUGGAAACCGCUCCCCUAACCUCGCCGGCGCCAUUAAUGGCGGCCGGGUGUCCCGCGCCCAUUUCCCCCUCCUCCGGCCGCCCUCUCUCACUCCCAACCCUAUAUAAACCCUCCCCGAGCUCCCCACCACCGUUUCCGCCACUCACCGCCCUCUCUCCCCGCCGGAAUCGAGCUCGCGCCGUCGCUCUCUCUCUCCGCCGUCGUCGUCGAGCUCCGGUCCGCCGCCGUCGUCGCCCCGGACCACCUCCCACCUCGGUGCCGCCUCCUUCGGCUUCGCCGCAUCCUCGCCGACCUCGUCCACCCCUCCGUUUCGCUCGUCGACCGCCGGAGCACCGUCGACCCCGUCCACCCGAGCCGCCCCGCCGCCUUCCUCCGCUCCGGUCGCCGUUUCCAUAGUCGCCGUCGACCCGGGGUGAGCCGUGGACCGCCGUUUCGUUUCCCCCUUUCCCUCCCCUCUCUCGGCCGCCGCUCCGCCGUGCCUAUGGCCGCCGUCGGCGACCAUAGGGGCGCGGGCGCGCCGCCUCCCGCCGGCCGCACCGACGUGGCCGCCUCCGGGCGCGCCUAGCGGCUGCCGCGUGGGGCCCGGCCGUCAGCCGCCCGCGCCCUUAGGUGCGGCUGACGCGUGGGGCCCACGGCGCCGGCCGGUGCGAGCCCGGGUGCGCCCGGUCCACCGUGGACCGUGAGGCUGCCGCGUGGGCCCCACUCCCGUGGACCCGGUCCGCGCGCCCCUCCCCUCGGCUGAUGCAAUAAACCCUUUUUAACUUAAAAUUUAAAUGAAGAAAUUCGCAAAUAUUCAUUUAAAGAGCAUAUAAACUUCAAAUGACCAUAACUUGGCCAUUUGAACUCGGAAUUGGACCGUUCAAGUCUCAAAUUUUUCCUUAAGAAGUCAAGAACCCAUUUUUGUGCUUUGUUUCUGCUUGUUAUAUGGAGUUUAUUAGAGUAAAAGCCUUUUCUUUUCCGUUGGUCGUGUAGACGCUGCAGCUUCGGAAGAUCCGCUCUUCGUAGAAGUUGAAGCCGACGUUUGGGAAAGCGAGCAAGGCAAGUCACAUCAUCCUUGAACACAUUGAAUCCCAGUUUAUAAAAUUAUGUUGAUUUAAAUUAUUGCAUUAUCGCUUUAUUUAAAUUCCCGCGUUAUCACUGUUUUGUUUAGACAUGCCUAUUCACCUUUGUUAUGACCUUAUUAUUGUUAUUGUUAUUAUUUCCUUGUUCACCCUAGGUUAAACAAAACCCCAACUAGUGGACACUCUACUCAUGGUACCACUAGUAUGAAUUUAGGUAGAUGCUUCGUCGGUUAAUUAGGCAACAUUAGGUGGUUUUACAACUCUAGACUUUGGGAAUAUUCUUAUCACCUGGACACUAUGGAAUUGUUGGAUUAUUGUGGAAUUGGAUUCACACCUCCCCCUCUAUUCAAAAUCCUCAAAAUGGUUUUAGGCUGGGCUCGGGGUGCAUGGUUUUGAUAGUAGCACCUCGGCCAUAUAAGGACCGGUCUUCGGGCCUCUGUUGCAAAGCACUACCGUACUUCCACAUGUCUAGUGGGUAAGGCUUAGUUUGUGGCUUAGUCUGGUUAUAAACAAAAGUACACGGAUGGAGAUGGACGAAGUCGGGGGUCGAUGGACAUCUCUAGGACAAAUGAAGGCUACACGAGCUGCGGCUCGGUAGUCGAGAUGUCAUGGCACAGGGCCGGUGUCCUGCUGCUAGGGGCUCAGUCCUGCCUACCUGUCCCGGAGGUUCCGGCCAUAGGUGGGGUUGGGUCGGUACUCUUGUCUAUGGCUAGAAUGGGUUGGAAACUAUGUCACGUCUUCCGUCCGUAUACUGUGGUGGUAUGUGGCACGUGGUUACACGUGAGAAAGAUGUGUCUUGUGGGUAAAGAUGUACACCUCUGAUCAGAGUAUAAUCUAUUCGAAUAGCCGCACCCUCGGUUAUGGGCAAGCCGAGCAAUGUACCCAAGUUAGUGUUUUAAUUCUUAAAACCUGCUUAACAACUAAAAUGUGGAAUGGUUGGCCUGGGUUGGCUUGGGACGAGCUGGGACCCAGGGUCGGGUUGCCAGUUCGGUCUGAAUCAUCGUAGGCCUUGGGUUAAGGCAGGUUCGUGUGGGUUCACGGCCUUGAUUAAUAAUAUUGUAUAGUUCUAGAAUCGUGUUUACAAAAUAGCUUUGAGCAACUAAGUGUCUUUUAAUGCCGUUUACUGCAAACCCUAACCCUUUAUAUUAUAACCCCCUUGUACUCCCUUGCAUUUAUUCUGCACUUGUGGGUGUGUCUUGUUGAGUACGGUGGUUGUACUCAGUCUUGCUCAAUUUUUCCCAAACCCAGAAGAGGAGCCCCUGGAAGAUGAAGGCUUUGGUGUCUAGCUCGUGCCUGCCGUCAAGCGCCUGUGGUUGUCGCCCUAGUCUUCCGUUGUUUCCCGUUUGUCUUUGUGUGUGCUGGGCCUUCGCCGCCCAUGUAAUAAAUUAACUAUUUACGCUUCCGCUUGUUGAACUCUGAACUGAGAUUAAAUGAUUGUAUGAUGCUGGUUUUAUUCGUCCUUGCCGAUACGCUGAAUGGGUUUCUAGUAUAGUUCCAGUUACUAAGAAGAAUGGCAAGGUCAGGGUGUGCAUUGAUUUCUGAGAUCUGAAUAAAGCUACACCGAAGGACGAAUACCCAAUGCCAGUAGCCGAUCAGUUGGUUGAUGCUACAUCAGGGAACAAGAUUUUGAGUUUUAUGGAUGGGAACGCAGGAUAUAAUCAAAUCUUUGUGGCUGAAGAAGAUAUCCAUAAGACAACUUUUAGAUGCCCUGGUGCAUUCGGCUUAUUUGAGUGGGUCGUCAUGACUUUCGGCUUGAAGAGUGCUGGAGCUACAUAUCAAAGAGCCAUGAAUUAUAUAUAUCAUGAUUUAAUCUGCUGGUUGGUUGAAGUCUAUAUCGAUGAUGUGGUUGUUAAGUCUAAAGAAAUAGAGGACCACAUAGCCAAUUUGAGGAGGGUUUUUGAGAGAACCAGAAAAUAUGGUGUGAAGAUGAAUCCGACAAAGUGUGCUUUUGGUGUAUCGGCCUACCAAUUUUUGGGAUUUCUUGUUCAUGAAAGAGGGAUCGAGGUAACUCAAAGGAAUGUUAAUGCGAUGAAGAAGAUUCAGCCUCCGGAGGAUAAGACAGAAUUACAAGAGAUGAUCGGCAAGAUAAAUUUUGUUAGGAGGUUUAUUUCUAAUUUGUCUGGAAGGUUAGAACCUUUUACACCAUUGUUGCGAUUGAAAGCCGAUCAGCAGUUUACUUGGGGGGCAGAGCAGCAAAAGGCUUUGGAUAAUAUUAAGGAAUAUCUUAGCUCUCCUCAUGUUUUGAUUCCUCCACAGAAAGGGAUACCAUUUAGGCUAUAUUUAUCAGCCGGUGAGAAGUCAAUCGGCUCAGUAUUGAUUCAGGAGUUGGAAGGGAAGGAACGAGUUGUAUUCUAUCUCAGCCGUCUGCUCUUAGAUGCUGAAACUCGGUACUCCCCUGUGGAGAAGUUAUGCUUGUGUCUAUAUUUUUCGUGUACAAGGUUGAGGCAUUAUCUACUAUCUAACGAGUGUACUAUUAUAUGCAAAGCCGACGUAGUCAAGUACAUGCUAUUGGCUCCAAUAUUAAAAGGAAGGGUUGGAAAAUGGAUAUUUUCUUUAACCGAGUUUGAUCUUCGGUAUGAGUCGCCGAAGGCGAUUAAGGGACAAGCUAUAGCCGAUUUUAUUGUGGAACAUCGUGAUGAUUCAAUCGGCUCGGUUGAAAUAGUGCCAUGGACUUUAUUCUUUGAUGGAUCGGUGUGCACUCAUGGUUGUGGUAUUGACCUAGUUAUAAUUUCCCCUAGGGGGGCAUGUUUCGAGUUUGCUUAUACUAUUAAACCGUAUGCGACUAAUAAUCAAGCUGAGUAUGAGGCAGUGCUCAAAGGGUUGCAAUUACUCAAGGAAGUUAAAGCCGAUACCAUUGAAAUCAUGGGGGAUUCUUUGCUAGUAAUGAGUCAAUUGGCAGGAGAGUAUGAAUGCAAGAAUGAUACAUUGAUGGUUUAUAAUGAGAAGUGCCAAGAACUAAUGAAGGAGUUUCGGCUGGUUACUUUAAAGCAUGUCUCUCGAGAACAAAAUAUUGAAGCUAAUGAUUUGGCCCAAGGGGCAUCAGGGUAUAAGCCGAUGAUCAAAGAUGUUAAGGUUGAGAUUGCAGCAAUGACAGCCGAUGAUUGGAGGUAUGAUGUGCAUCAGUAUCUAUACCUAUACUAAUCGGGCACUUUUUUGAAGCUCUCACGUUAACCAGAAAGAUCUGAGCGUCAAUUAGAUAAGUCGUUUAAUCUACACCGUAGAUCCUGUAAUACUUUAACAUCGUGGGCCAAUCAAUCUUAAACUCAGUGGGCUCCUUGCAAAUCCUAUCUAUCCAGUUAUCGAUGGAAGGACAGAACCCAUCUAAUUUAUCUCCAAGUUCCAUCGUGAGAAAUCAGGAACGCGAUCGAGAACGUGAGCGAGGGCGACGAGAUAUGCAUAGGCUGCAGUCGACCUUGAUCCCAGACUGUGGUCCCGAUCAGCGACAAUUUGCCUCAAUCACGAGGAGAAGUUAAAAGUUUCCAGUGAAUCAGUGAUCGCUCCAGAGGUAUCGUUCAUCCCUGUUAAGUCUCUGGUUUGACGUACUGUUUUUACUCCAUAAAGAUUGAAUAAAUUUUAACCUGAAACGAAAUUUAACCAAAUGAAUUUUGGGAGAAAAAAGUUUGCUACAAAAUAAAAAAUUACUUGCACAUCCGUCACUGCAUCUGCUACAGAUCUAUUGCUGCAUCUACAAUAUACAUAUAUACGUAUUCCUUUGAAUUUGCAUGGUUUGCAUGUUCAAUUUGCAAUACAUAUUUAGCAGUCUAUUUAAUUAGGACGCAUUCAAUUUAUGGUUUUGAUUGGAAUGAUCAACUAUUUGCUGAUCAUCUUUUACAUAUUGAAUGUGUUUUUUUAUUCCAUUAAACUUGCAAGUUCUAAGUUGUCAAUUCUGAUUUUCACAAGUUGUUUAAUGACAGUAGAAGCAGAUAAAAAUAUAUUGAUCUAUAAUUCUCUGAAUGCAAUCAACUAUAUUUAAUUUUCCAUAUGCUUGGUAUAUCCCGUAUGCAAUGCAUAUGUACAUGUAGUUUGCAGCUUACUGUUCAGUGUUCAUGUUCAUUCGUUUGGGUUAGUCCUUAUAUCAAUUUUUCCUAACAAGUAUUUCAGUUAAUAUAUAGAGCUUCAUUUACAAGUAUAAUUUAGCAGCCUAAUUUGGAGAUACAUUUUCUUUUAUGAAAACCGAAGGGUAACUACAAUAUAUUGCAUACACUUGCAUUGUAGUUAAUUACACGCUAAAUUUCAAAACAUAAACUAUAAUUACAUUAUAAGUUUCAAUAUUUACCUUUUGUUUUUUAGUACACAGUUUAUAAGAAUUAGGAGUAAAAUUAAUUUAAUUAUUAUCUACUUGGAAGAGGAAAUGGGAGAGAGAGAGAGAAGCAUACUUACUAGAGUAUCAUAUAGGAUACAUGACGUGACUGAAACUAAGACCCCCGUAAUUUUAGCAAUCCUGACUCUUUGGUAUAAAUAUUCUUCUCGAUAAUCAUGCGACGUAAAGAGAACGAAAUUCAGAAUUAAUCAUACACACGGUUUAUCCAUUUGAACUAGCUAGAAACCUACUAAGCGAAUAAUCAUGCACGUAAACAAAUAUUUAUCAUGUACUACGUAGGUUCAUAUGAGUAUUACUUGCAGCAAGAGUAAACAAUCUAGGCUUGAUCUGAUAGACGUGACCAAAUUCACGUUAAAUAGCAUGUAUCGUGGCAAAAUCGCAAAAUCACAACAUUAGGUUUUAUUUAGGGUUUGUGAAAAAAUAAAACAUGCAAUUGGCAAUAUCGUGGACUCUUUAAUUUGUACUUAACCGGUACAAAUAGAGAAGAGACUAUAGAUCACUAAUUAUUAUUAUGAGUUUUGGGAAUGAUAAAACAAAAAAGCUAAUUACAUAUAUCUUAUAUCUUCUAGGGUCCAUACUGAGUAUAACUAUUUUUUUUUAAUUUCAAAAUUAUUAAAUUACAGGGUGUACUUAAAUUUAAACUCGACCACAGACACAACUAAAUACUUAAUUAAUUCCAGAAUUCCACAAUAUCAAAUAAAAAAGUUGGAUGUAUCAUAAAUUUAGCAUUUGUUUGAUUCAAAAUUAAUAAUUAACAAGUAGUAUUCAUUCUGUACCAAAAUAUAACAACUUCUAGCCAUUAGAAUUUGUCCCAAAAUAUAACAAUUUACCACCAACAUUCUCUUCUUAACGAAUCACAAUCCUCCAUCAUUCAAUUUUUCCAGCUAUCUCCACUUCUCCUUCAGCCACAACACUCCCCUAUUUAAUUGUACCAACUUUCUUAAUAACCAUUGUCUAACUCUAAAAAUGCUUAUAUUCUGGGACGAAGGGAAUAGUUAACUAUUAUUUCAAUCUAACAUGCUACAAUUCGAAUAUGGCCAACGUAGUGAACGUAUGGUUAAAAUUUUGAUCUUUAUACUACCAAUACCAAUAACCCGUGCAAGGCACGGGUUGACAGCUAGUUUGCAUAAUCCGUCUCAAUCGGCUUCUAGGAAAUUGAGAUAUAAGUCAUUAAAGUAUACACUGUUGGAUGAUGAGCUUUAUUAUCGGACGGUUGAUGGAGUAUUACUCAUGUGCUUGAGUGCCGAUCAGGCUAAGAUUGCAAUCGGCGAAGUUCAUGAAGGAAUUUGUGGUACUCAUCAAUCGGCUCAUAAGAUGAAGUGGUUGCUUCGGCGUGCAGGGUACUUUUGGCCGACAAUGCUGGAGGAUUGUUUCAGAUAUUAUAAGGGGUGUCAAGAUUGUCAGAAGUUUGGAGCAAUUCAGAUAGCGCCGGCAUCGGCUAUGAAUCCUAUUAUUAAGCCAUGGCCAUUCAGAGGUCGGGGAAUUGAUAUGAUCGGUAUGAUAAACCCACCAUCAAGUAAAGGACAUAAAUUUAUAUUGGUGGCGACUGAUUAUUUCAGCAAGUGGGUGGAGGCGAUUCCUUUGAAGAAAGUUGAUUCUGGGAUGCCAUUCAAUUCGUUCAAGAACAUAUAAUCUACCGAUUUGGUAUUCCUCAAACUAUUACUACCGAUCAGGGUUCAAUCUUUGUGUCCGAUGAGUUUGUUCAGUUUGCCGAUAGCAUGGGUAUCAAAUUGUUGAAUUCUUCACCUUAUUAUGCACAAGCUAAUGGGCAAGCCGAGGUGUCUAAUAAAAGUUUGAUCAAAUUGAUUAAGCGGAAAAAUUCUGAUUAUCCUCGGCAAUGGCAUACUAGGUUGGCCGAAGCAUUGUUGUCUUAUAGGAUGGCUUGUCAUGGAUCGAUCCAAGUCCCUCCUUACAAACUUGUUUAUGGGCAUGAGGCUGUUUUGCCAUGGGAGGUUAGAAUCGGCUCUCGAAGAACGGAAUUACAAAAUGAUUUAACAGCUGAUGAGUAUUACAACCUUAUGGCCGAUGAGAGGGAGGAUCUGGUUCAGUCACGAUUGCGAGCCCUUGCGAAGGUUACCAAGGAUAAGUAGUGUGUUGCUCGGCAUUAUAAUAAGAAAGUGGUACCUAAAGUUUUUUUGGAAGGAGAACUUGUAUGGAAGUUGAUUUUGCCGAUUGGUACUCGUGAUAGUAGAUUCGGCAAGUGGUCGCCGAAUUGGGAAGGACCAUUCCAAAUUUAUAAGGUUGUGUCUAAGGGAGCAUAUAUGUUGCAAGGGCUUGAUGGUGAAGUUUAUGGGCGAGCGCUCAAUGCCAAAUUUUUGAAGAAGUAUUACCCAAGUGUUUGGGUUAACGCAUGAGCGGCUCGUAUUGCCGAUGCAUGACAGCCGAUGUGUUUACAUCGCCUUAAGAUGGCCGAUAUGGUUAUAUUGCCCUUAGUUGUUUUCCAUUGUGUAAUCGGUUGUGGUUUGCCGAUGUACAAUGGCCGAUGUGGUUAUAUCGCCCUUAGUUGUUUUCCAUGGUGUAAUCGGUUGUGGUUUGCCGAUGUACAAUGGCCAAUAUUGUUAUAUCGCCCUUAGUUGUUUUAUAAUUUUCUCAAUGCUUUUGGCAUUGUAAAAUUAGGGGGGCAACUAUAUAUCAAAAUGCAAUGCAAAUUUUGCAAAUUUUGUUUGAGCAAAUUUUUUGAGCAAAUUUCAAAGUCAUGUUAGUCGGCAUAAAGGAUUGUCAAGACCGUAAAGUAUUAGAACGUCUUAGCCGACUACAAAAUUUUCUAAGACCUACUACAUGGAAAGUCAUUGAGACAAGUAUUGCUAGAUAGCCAAUAUAGCUUUCUGCCUAAUCUGUUCUACUUCUUCUAUGGCUUGGGCAUCUUGAGCGUCAGUUCCAGGGAUAACUUUCGAGGACUUGGUCAUAUCAGCGACAUUCUUGAUAGCCGAUUUUAGCUUUGUCUUCUGUUCUUCAACAGCUUGCGGGAGAUCGGCUAGCUUUUUGUGCUCCAUAUCCAGCUCGGCGUUGCAUUCUUGAAGUUGUGCCAUGAGAUCAAUCUUACGAGCUUAAAGCCGAUCGAUAUUUGACUUGAUCGGGCCUCCAGACAGCUGAUCAAGCUUGGACUUCUCUACAUGCACAAGCUGCCGAUUGUGCUGGAUUGUAGCUUUAAUAUCUUUGCGUUCCCGGUGAUCGGCUAAUCUCUGCCUAGCCUUCUCUAGCUUGAAUCGGUGUUGCUCAAGGCAAACGGCUGGAGUAAGGGCAUCGGCUAGUUCAUCUGGGAGUAGAGCUUGGAUGUCUGUAAACCUUGCCCGGAUCGAGCCACAGUUGGUCACCAAGUUGUCUAGUGAUGCUUCUAGCCGAUGAGAAAUAUCUUCCAGUGUUUUUCUCACAUCAUCGGAUAGGGGAGCUAAGGCUUUGCUUGAAGUAUCUUCUUUUGCUUCAUCAAGGUAAUCUCUGAUGUCAAAAGAGAAGAGAUCGGCUAGAACCUGCAGAUACAAUUCCGGAAAGAGUAAGAGCUGAGUAAAAUUUAGCCGAUCAGAUGGUUGAGACAAAGGAAAACUUACUGGGAUAGCAGGGGCAGCUGGUUGUUCUUCUUCCUCAAUGUGAUGACUCCUCACAGCCGAUGGAGUCUGGUCACUUGACGGUUGCUGUACAGGAGGAGAAGAAGGAGGAGGCUGAAGAAUAGACAAGUGUUAUAUAGAGCCAGUUGAGUUUGAUUAAGUAAAAGAAUUAAAGACAUCUUACUGGUGGAGCCGACUUGACAAUCGUUGCUGUUGACUUUUUCUUCACAGCAGUUUUCUUUUUCUACAACCAUAACUUCUAUAAGUAAUUAGCCGAAGAGGGAAGUAAUUUUAGAAGAAGUCAAAGAGAGAUACUUACCCUUGUAAAAUGAACGGGGGCAGAAGGAGUUGGAGGCGUUUGCUUGGGUGAAGCCGAUGGUGUUCUUUCUGUGUCACUCAUUUCGGCUACAGCCUGGUCAACAUCUUCACCAAUUUCCUCUUCAUCUAAGGCUUGUUCAAUAGAUGGAUCCAAGGCAGGCAGAUCAUCAGCCGGCUUAUCAGUUGGCUUGGUUUUCUUGAAUUUGGCCUUUUUCUUUGGAGCUAAGACCAAGGUACUCACGGCUGAUGAUCUGGUUUUCCUUUUCUUGCCUGCAUCGGCUGGUUCCCUGGUUAGGCCGUGAAGGAGAUUUGAAGUCUUGGGGGCAUGGUAGCCGAUAACAGGGGGAGAUAGUUCACCUCCAUUCAGAAUUAGACCUGAAGCAUAUUCAAUAUUCUUGCCACUGUUACUUUGAUGAGGAGGGGAGGACUCUGUUGUCUGCAGAAUAGGAGCAAAAGAUUAGUCAAGUAAUGAAUCGGCUAACUGAUUAUGCAAUUUGGUAAGGACAAAGUUUACCUGGGGUAUGACGUCAGGGAAUAGAUCUGUCAUAUACAUUGUAGCCGAUCGAUGAAAUAGAUGCAGCUUCCAUUCACCCCACCAUUUGUCAAAGUUUUUGCUUCUAAAUCUUGCCAACUCAAUAUUAUCAAUGCUGCCCAGAGGAGGUCCUGGUAGGUUAAGUAGCCGAUCGAUCAUUAGAGUGGAUGUGAUUUGUCCUCGACUACAAUAACAUCGGCUGAGUCUGAGUCGGACUAGGUGGGCCGAUGUAGCCGAUCCCGAAAAUACGACUUGAUGUGUGAUGUCAUGUUGGAUUGAGGUGCUUCAAGGUGAUUGCCGCACAUGGAUAGAGUCAUAAGGAGGCGAUUGUAUCUAUUAAUUAGAUGUUUUAUGUAAUUUCCUUAGAGAUACGUUUGGGCAAAAAGUCUGCCGCAAAGACUUAUGGUAUCUUAGAGUUUGUUAGAGAUAGUAGUCAUGUCCGUUAUGGACAUAUCUUGUAAUUCUCGAGUAUAAAUAGACCCGAGCCCUAUGUAACUUUUUAACACACACGUUCAAGACAAUUUUGGUGCAUCGCCACCCUUUUGCUUUAGUUUUGUUUCGACGAGUUCUUGCUUUCGGGUUGAGCUGCAUCGGUUUCGAUCUUCAAUAAGAGGUAAAACUUGUUAUGACGAUUUGUGUUCUCAGGAUUAGUGCUUCCAUCUUUAUGAUACUCUAAUCUUGUUUAUGUAAUUCGUCGAGUUAUCAUAUAUUUUACAUAAUCUCUGGCAAUAUCGCUAUCUAACCUACGAUCGGCUAACAUCUGUCGGUGGAGGACAGCCGAUUAGGUUAGAUUCCGACGUUGAUUUAGAUUAUGUAAGAUGUCUACCACUCUAUGAAACUCCCAGCGGCUUGAUUGUCUAGAUAUUGUUCUUCUUUUCAUACUUAAUGCUGCAUCAGCUUAGUUUGAUCUAUUAAGUCGUGCUUAGAAUAUCAAUCUCUAGCCUACCUUCUGGUUGUCGAUUAGCGUUGUAUCGGAGUUUUAGCCGAUCUUACUUGAUUUAACUAUAUUUGCUCUAUAUGCUUUGGUGAUACGUUAAAUCUGCCCUUUUGGUCAAGAUAUUAUCGCAUCUAAGGAUACUAAGCUUUUGUUUAGCAUAUUCUUCUUGUUUUAACAUCUUAAUAUAGAAUUGUAUCGGAGUAUUAGCCGAUACAUGCUAGAUCUAUCUGAUCGGCUAUGCUGUGAACAUAUAUAGUCCUUUUAUUAAUGUAUAUUUCGAUCUAAGUGAUUUAUACUGUCUCGGUAUGGCGACCGAUCUAUCCCAAUCACUUGAUUUUAUGUAUACAUCGAUAUAAGAACUAUAUAUUGUUGAUAUCUACAGCCGAUCGGGUAGAUUUAGUUCUUUAUUACUUAUUUACAACUGCCGAUCGAUUCACAUGUCAUCGGCUCAAAGAUAAAUGAUAUGUCAUCGGUGCCUAGCCGAUCGACUAUCAUUUAUAGAUUUAACCGCGGUUUCUUUGCUUCUACUUCUUGUUGAUUACAGGAUCAAAUCAACUGGCACGCUAGCACACCCGAAGGUGAGCUUUGGACCUAUACUGGAGUUAAGCAGAUCUCCCAGGCCUCGUGUUUUCUGUCAACAGAUAUAAAUGGAGCGUAUAAAGGAUGUCUAUCCUUUUAUUCCAAUAAGAACAAACACAAAGCACAUAUGGCAAAUACUAAAUCCACUACAACAAAAUCAAAGACCAUACAAAGCAUGUAAAGAUGUAGCAAUCCACAUUGAUUCUUCAUCCACUACUAAACCAAGCACAUAUGAAAGGCCGCAUAUGCAUGAUCAUUGUGAAUAUGACAUGCCCUUGUCGAGCAAAGGUGUCACUUCAUGCAAAUAUGUUGUUUCAAGCGACAUCAAUAUAUGGUUACAAAAUUUUAAACAUUGGUAUAUUAAUGACUUUCAUAUAUGCAUAUUAAUUUCAAUUGAAAGACAUCUUGUUGUCCAUCAUUCCUAACAAGAGGUAGUGUACAAGGCAUUAUUUAGUUGAGCUCUCGCUCACUUUGCAUCACAGAAGCAUAACCUAGACAUAGGUAAUUCAUUAUAGAAUCAAAAACUGCAGCAGCAACAAUGAGGGUAAAAACUAGAAAGAAGGAUUUAUUAUGUUCCUUAGUUUAUUCAGCCACGAAAGAGUGACUUAAAAAAAUGUACACUUCUUCCAAAGUGAAAAUUAUGGGAUGUCUUACUUAUGGAAUGCUCCUACACACUGAGGUUGUUCUUGCUGACCCCUCGUUUCUAUGAGAAGUUUAUUAUAACAUACCAAGUCGAUAGUUUAAUGCAAACAAAUUGGAUAAUAAACCUGAUGUUUCAACAAAACUACAGGAACUCACGCAUGAUGUACCCAAAGGUAACUGGUUCUUGACACACUACAAAUCUAUGGUAGUCCUUUUCCAUCUCGAAGACGAAUCAACGCUGUGUUUAGAAUCAGCUGUUCCCAACAUGCGAAUUGCGCACAGAAAACGGAGCGCUCCAUUAGAGCGUGAUUAAUUAAGUAUUAGCUUUUUUUUUUCAAAAAUGGGUCCAUAUGAUUUUUUGAAGCAACUUUUGUAUAGAAACCUUUUGCAAAAAACACACCGUAUAGCAGUUUGAGAAGCUUGCGCGCGGAAUACGAUGGAGAUGGGUUGGGAACCCUGGAUUCCAAACACAGCCCAAGUCUAUCCAAAAUGUUUAAACAAGAAAAUACGUAACAAGUUGGUUUACAGAAAUACGAAUUAGAUCAAUCCUGCACUACAAGUAGAGUAAAGUGGUGAUUUCUCUUAAAUCUCUCGAAUGGUGAUUUAAGAAUUCAGUGCAAACCAAAUCCUUGCUAUAAUCAAAUGUUCGGUACCGCAUCAAUGGAACAAUAAAAAGCGCCUGGCGUACCAUAAUUUUGUCAUUCUUGUUGAAAUUUGUAAUUUAAGAUGCAUGAGGCCACACGACCUUAAUGUUCAACGUGUCAUGCAUUAGUGAAAUAAUAGCUCACAAAACGCAACAAAUAUAGCUAGAUAACUGUCGCGUCCCAAAACGACUCUAAAAUACAUCCUCGAAAUUGUGCCGAGAAUAAUUAAAAUUCUUGUGAAAGCCUCCAACAAUUAAAAUGUGCAAAUGUAAAAGUCAAAUAAGGCUUGGAGGAUUUUUGUAUAUUUCCUAAAAGCCUAAAAUGCGUAAAUAAAUUUUAGUGGAAUUUUCAGAGCACAAAUAAUAAUUGAGAAGAAAUAAACAAAGUUAAAAAGGUUUAUAAAAAGAAAAUCCCUAAAAGUCUUCUUUCCCCCCACCUUUUCCCUCUUGGGCCGGCUCGGCCCAAUUCCCUCCCUCUCUGUCCUCUCCCCCGCGGCCCAUCAGCCUCCUCCCCGCGCGCGCGCCGCUGACAGGCGGGCCCGCCCGCCACCCUCGCUGACGGGUGGGGCCCACCUGUCAUCCCCUACCUCGCGCCGCUCCCGCCGCCCGCCCGUGCCCUAGCGCCGCCGCCGCCGCCGAAUCCGCCGCAUCCCGCCGUCCCCGCGCGCCAUAAAGAGGGGGAAAUCACUCCCCGUGAUUCCCUCUCCCUUUCCCCCCGUUUUUCCCUCUCUCUCUCCCUCGGAUUCGUUCGGAUUUACUCCCGCAAUCCUCGCCGGCGCAAUCAAUGGCGGCCGAGAUUUCCGCGGCCGAUUCCUUCCUCUCCGGCCGCCCUCUCUCCCUCCCGACGCUAUAUAAUCGCUCCUCGUGCUUCGCUCCUCCGUUUCCGCCACUCGCCGCUCACUCUCCCCGUCGGAUUCGUGCCCGCGCCGUCUUCCUCUCUCUCCGCCGUCGCCGCCGAGCUCCAGUUCGCCGCCGUCGUCGCUCCGGACCUCCUCCCGACUCGGCGUCACCUCCUUCGGCUUCGCCGCGUCCCCGUCGACCUCGUCCACCCCUUCGUUUCGCCCGCCGACUGUCGGAGCGCCGCCGUCCUCGUCGAUCCGAACCGCGCCGCCGCCUUCCUCCGCUCCGGUUGUCGUUUCCGCCGUCCUCGUCGUCCCGGGGUGAGCCGUGGACCGAGAGGCUGACGCAUGGGCCCCACUCCCGUGGACCCGGUCCGCGCGCCCUCUCUCUCGGCUGACGCAAUAAACCUGAUUUUUAAUUAAAAUUUAAAUGAAGAAAUUCGCAAAUAUCCAUUUAAAGAGCAUAUAAACUUCAAAUGGCCAUAUCUUGGCCAUUUGAACUCGGAAUUGGACCGUUCAAGUCUCUAAUUUUUCCUUAAGAAGUCAAGAACCCAUUUUUGUGCUUUGUUUCUGCUGUUAUGUGGAGUUUAUUAGAGUAAAAGCCUUUUCUUUUCCGUUGGUCGUGUAGACGCUGCAGCUUCGGAAGAUCCGCUCUUCGUGGAAGUUGAAGCCGACGUUUGGGAAAGCGAGCAAGGCAAGUCACAUCAUCUUUGAACAUAUUGAAUCCCAGUUUGUAAAAUUAUGUUGAUUUAAAUUAUUGCAUUAUCGCUUUAUUUAAAUUCCCGCGUUAGCACUGUUUUAUUUAGCCAUGCCUAUUUACCUUUGUUAUGACCUUAUUAUUGUUAUUGUUAUUAUUUCCUUGUUCACCCUAGAGUAAACAAAACCCCAACUAGUGGACACUCUACUCAUGGUACCACUAGUAUGAUUUUAUGUAGAUGCUUCGCUAUUUAAUUAGGUAACAUUAGGCGGUUUUACAACUCUAGACUUUGGGAUAUUCAUAUCACCUGGACACUCUGGAAUUGUUGGAUCAUUGUGGAAUUGGCUUCACACCUCCCCCUCUAUUCAAAAUCCCCAAAAAUGGUUUUAGGCUGGGCUCGGGGUGCAUGGUUUUGAUGGUAGCACAUCGGCCAUAUAAGGACCGGUCUUCGGGCCUCUGUUGCAAAGCACUACCGUACUUCCACAUGUCUAGUGGGUAAGGCUUAGUUUGUGGCUCAGUCUAGUCAUAAACAAAAGUACACGGAUUGGAGAUGGAUGAAGUUGGGGGUCGAUGGACAUUCUCCAGGGUAAAUGAAGGCUACACGAGCUGCGGCCCGGUAGUCGAGAUGUCAUGGCACAGGGCCGGUGUCCUGCUGCUAGGGGCUCAGUCCUGCCUGCCUGUCCCGGGGGUUCCGGCCGUAGGCGGGAUUGGGUCGGUACUCUUGUCUAUGGCUAGGAUGGGUUGGAAACUAUGUCACGUCUUCCGUCUGUAUACCGUGGUGGUAUGUGGCACGUGGUUGCACGUGAGGAAGAUGUGUCUUGUGGGUAAAGAUGUACACCUCUGAUCAGAGUAUAAUCUAUUCGAAUAGCCGCGCCCUCGGUUAUGGGCAAGCCGAGCAAUGUACCCAAGUUAGUGUUUUAAUUCUUAAAACCUGCUUAACAACUAAAAUGUGGAAUGGUUGGCCUGGGUUGGCUUGGGACGAGCUGGGACCCAGGGUCGGGUUGCCAGUUCGGUCUGAAUCAUCGUAGGCCUUGGGUUAAGGCAGGUUCGUGUGGGUUCACGGCCUUGAUAAUUAAUAUUGUAUAGUUCUAGGAUCGCGUUUACAAAAUAGCCUCGAGCAACUAAAUGUCUUUAAAUGCUGUUUACUGCAACCCUAACCCUUUAUAUUAUAAUUCCCUUGUACUCCCUUGCAUUUAUUCUGCAUUUGUGGGUGUGUCUUGUUGAGUACGGUGGUUGUACUCAGUCUUGCUCAAUUUUUCCCAAGCCCAGAAGAGGAGCUCCUUGAAGAUGAAGGCUUUGGUGUCUAGCUCGUGCCUGCCGUCAAGCGCCUGUGGUCGUCGCCCUAGUCUUCCGCUGUUUCCCGUUUGUCUUUGUGCGUGCUGGGCCUUCGCUGCCCAUGUAAUAAGUUAACUAUUUACGCUUCCGCUUGUUAAACUCUGAAUUGUAUCAACUUUUGGUGUACCUUGCCUCCUGGGACAAGGAUUAAUGCACGCACGUAAGGAACGCCCGUUGGGUUAAUUCCGGUCGUGACAAUAACGGUUGCAAUCCUUACCAAACUAACGUAUAAAGUGAGCGAUGAGUCAUAUCAUUAUCUCCCGCCUGCUAACCAUCGUGUACACCAUCCGAUCCCAAAAAUGACAACUUCUAGGGAUGAACCUGGACAAGGUUUAGGGUUUAGGGAUGAAUCUGGACAAAUGAUUGUUCAGGUUCAUCCCUAGAUGUUGGUUUCUCCUUACGGGACGGAGGGAGUAUAUGUGAUGUACACAAAAGUUACUUUCAUGAUGAAACCAAAGGGGAUUUGUUGGGGCACCUAAUAGAACAUCUGUCCAAAUGGCAUGACUCACUUAUAUCCUAAUAGGACAUCCAAGAAAAACUAACACUCUAAAGCAACCGAUGAGGAAUUGAAAGAAAAUACGUGCCACCGCAUCUAUAAAUGGACAAGCGCAAUGGAAACCCUCCUCAUCAUUCACACAGUUCAAGCAUUAUUCAGCAAAAUAGAAAGAUCUAGUGUCCCGCAGCAAUGAAGAUCAUUUUCGUCUUUGCUCUCCUUGCUAUUGCUGCAUGCAGCGCCUCUGCGCAGUUUGAUGUUUUAGGUCAAAGUUAUAGGCAAUAUCAGCUGCAGUCGCCUGUCCUGCUACAGCAACAUGUGCUUAGCCCAUAUAAUGAGUUCGUAAGGCAGCAGUAUGGCAUAGCGGCAAGCCCCUUCUUGCAAUCAGCUGCGUUUCAACUGAGAAACAACCAAGUCUGGCAACAGCUCGCGCUGGUGGCGCAACAAUCUCACUAUCAGGACAUUAACAUUGUUCAGGCCAUAGCGCAGCAGCUACAACUCCAGCAGUUUGGUGAUCUCUACUUUGAUCGGAAUCUGGCUCAAGCUCAAGCUCUGUUGGCUUUUAACGUGCCAUCUAGAUAUGGUAUCUACCCUAGGUACUAUGGUGCACCCAGUACCAUUACCACCCUUGGCGGUGUCUUGUAAUGAGUUUUAACAGUAUAGUGGUUCGGAAGAUAAAAAUAAGCUCAGAUAUCAUCAUAUGUGACAUGUGAAACUUUGGGUGAUAUAAAUAGAAAAAAAGUUGUCUUUCAUAUUUAAAUACCAUGCCUCUAUAAGGAUAUAUCCUAGUACGUUGUCGUGACUAAUUACCAUCAUCGGUACUCUACAAUUUUACUGUGUGCUUACAUUCGAUCCGAAGCUACUUUGUUUUUUAGAUAGAAAUGGAGCGUAUAAAGGAUGUCCGUCCUUUUAUUCCAAUAAGAACAAACACAAAGCACAUAUGGAAAAUACUAAAUCCACUACAACAAAAUCAUAGACCAUACAAAGCAGGUAAAGAUGUAGCAAUCCACAUUGAUUCUUCAUCCACUACUACAACAAGCGCAUAUGAAAGGCCGCAUAUGCAUGAUCAUUGUGAAUAUGACAUGCCCUUGUCGAGCAAACGUGUCACUUCAUGCAAAUAUGUUAUUUCAAGCGACAUCAAUAUAUGGUUACAAAAUUUUAAACAUUGGUAUAUUAAUGACUUUCAUAUAUGCAUAUUAAUUUCAAUUGAAAGACAUCUUGUUGUCCAUCAUUCCUAACAAGAGGUAGUGUACAAGGCAUUAUUUAGUUGAGCUCUCGCUCACUUUGCAUCACAGAAGCAUAACCUAGACAUAGGUAAUUCAUUAUAGUAUCAAAAACUGCAGCAGCUACAAUGAGGGUAAAAACUAGAAAGAAGGAUUUAUUAUGUUCCUUAGUUUAUUCAGCCACGAAAGAGUGACUUAAAAAAAUGUACACUUCUUCCAAAGUGAAAAUUAUGGGAUGUCUUACUUAUGGAAUGCUCCUACACACUGAGGUUGUUCUUGCUGACCCCUCGUUUCUCUGAGAAGUUUAUUAUAACAUACCAAGUCGAUAGUUUAAUGCAAACAAAUUGGAUAAUAAACCUGAUGUUUCAACAAAACUACAGGAACUCACGCAUGAUGUACCCAAAGGUAACUGGUUCUUGACACACUACAAAUCUGUGGUAGUCCUUUUCCAUCUCGAAGACGAAUCAACGCUAUGUUUAGAAUCAGCUGUUCCCAACAUGCGAAUUGCGCACAGAAAACGGAGCGCUCCAUUAGAGCGUGAUUAAUUAAGUAUUAGCUUUUUUUUUUCAAAAAUGGGUCCAUAUGAUUUUUUGAAGCAACUUUUGUAUAGAAACCUUUUGCAAAAAACACACCGUAUAGCAGUUUGAGAAGCUUGCGCGCGGAAUACGGUGGAGAUGGGUUGGGAACCCUGGAUUCCAAACACAGCCCAAGUCUAUCCAAAAUGUUUAGACAAGAAAAUACGUAACAAGUUGGUUUACAGAAAUACGAAUUAGAUCAAUCCUGCACUACAAGUAGAGUAAAGUGGUGAUUUCUCUUAAAUCUCUCGAAUGGUGAUUUAAGAAUUCAGUGCAAACCAAAUCCUUGCUAUAAUCAAAUGUUCGGUACCGCAUCAACGGAACAAUAAAAAGCGCCUGGCGUACCAUAAUUUUGUCAUUCUUGUUGAAAUUUGUAAUUUAAGAUGCAUGAGGCCACACGACCUUAAUGUUCAACGUGUCAUGCAUUAGUGAAAUAAUAGCUCACAAAACGCAACAAAUAUAGCUAGAUAACGGUUGCAAUCCUUACCAAACUAACGUAUAAAGUGAGCGAUGAGUCAUAUCAUUAUCUCCCGCCUGCUAACCAUCGUGUACACCAUCCGAUCCCAAAAAUGACAACUUCUAGGGAUGAACCUGGACAAGGUUUAGGGUUUAGGGAUGAAUCUGGACAAAUGAUUGUUCAGGUUCAUCCCUAGAUGUUGCUUUCUCCUUACGGGACGGAGGGAGUAUAUGUGAUGGACACAAAAGUUACUUUCAUGAUGAAACCAAAGGGGAUUUGUUGGGGCACCUAAUAGAACAUCUGUCCAAAUGGCAUGACUCACUUAUAUCCUAAUAGGACAUCCAAGAAAAACUAACACUCUAAAGCAACCGAUGAGGAAUUGAAAGAAAAUACGUGCCACCGCAUCUAUAAAUGGACAAGCGCAAUGGAAACCCUCCUCAUCGUUCACACAGUUCAAGCAUUAUACAGCAAAAUAGAAAGAUCUAGUGUCCCGCAGCAAUGAAGAUCAUUUUCGUCUUUGCUCUCCUUGCUAUUGCUGCAUGCAGCGCCUCUGCGCAGUUUGAUGUUUUAGGUCAAAGUUAUAGGCAAUAUCAGCUGCAGUCGCCUGUCCUGCUACAGCAACAGGUGCUUAGCCCAUAUAAUGAGUUCGUAAGGCAGCAGUAUGGCAUAGCGGCAAGCCCCUUCUUGCAAUCAGCUGCGUUUCAACUGAGAAACAACCAAGUCUGGCAACAGCUCGCGCUGGUGGCGCAACAAUCUCACUAUCAGGACAUUAACAUUGUUCAGGCCAUAGCGCAGCAGCUACAACUCCAGUAGUUUGGUGAUCUCUACUUUGAUCGGAAUCUGGCUCAAGCUCAAGCUCUGUUGGCUUUUAACGUGCCAUCUAGAUAUGGUAUCUACCCUAGGUACUAUGGUGCACCCAGUACCAUUACCACCCUUGGCGGUGUCUUGUAAUGAGUUUUAACAGUAUAGUGGUUCGGAAGUUAAAAAUAAGCUCAGAUAUCAUCAUAUGUGACAUGUGAAACUUUGGGUGAUAUAAAUAGAAAAAAAGUUGUCUUUCAUAUUUAAAUACCAUGCCUCUAUAAGGAUAUAUCCUAGUACGUUGUCGUGACUAAUUACCAUCAUCGGUACUCUACAAUUUUACUGUGUGCUUACAUUCGAUCCGAAGCUACUUUGUUUUUAAGAUAGAAAUGGAGCGUAUAAAGGAUGUCCGUCCUUUUAUUCCAAUAAGAACAAACACAAAGCACAUAUGGAAAAUACUAAAUCCACUACAACAAAAUCAUAGACCAUACAAAGCAGGUAAAGAUGUAGCAAUCCACAUUGAUUCUUCAUCCACUACUACAACAAGCGCAUAUGAAAGGCCGCAUAUGCAUGAUCAUUGUGAAUAUGACAUGCCCUUGUCGAGCAAACGUGUCACUUCAUGCAAAUAUGUUAUUUCAAGCGACAUCAAUAUAUGGUUACAAAAUUUUAAACAUUGGUAUAUUAAUGACUUUCAUAUAUGCAUAUUAAUUUCAAUUGAAAGACAUCUUGUUGUCCAUCAUUCCUAACAAGAGGUAGUGUACAAGGCAUUAUUUAGUUGAGCUCUCGCUCACUUUGCAUCACAGAAGCAUAACCUAGACAUAGGUAAUUCAUUAUAGUAUCAAAAACUGCAGCAGCUACAAUGAGGGUAAAAACUAGAAAGAAGGAUUUAUUAUGUUCCUUAGUUUAUUCAGCCACGAAAGAGUGACUUAAAAAAAUGUACACUUCUUCCAAAGUGAAAAUUAUGGGAUGUCUUACUUAUGGAAUGCUCCUACACACUGAGGUUGUUCUUGCUGACCCCUCGUUUCUAUGAGAAGUUUAUUAUAACAUACCAAGUCGAUAGUUUACUGCAAACAAAAUGGAUAAUAAACCUGAUGUUUCAACAAAACUACAGGAACUCACGCAUGAUGUACCCAAAGGUAACUGGUUCUUGACACACUACAAAUCUGUGGUAGUCCUUUUCCAUCUCGAAGACGAAUCAACGCUAUGUUUAGAAUCAGCUGUUCCCAACAUGCGAAUUGCGCACAGAAAACGGAGCGCUCCAUUAGAGCGUGAUUAAUUAAGUAUUAGCUUUUUUUUUUCAAAAAUGGGUCCAUAUGAUUUUUUGAAGCAACUUUUGUAUAGAAACCUUUUGCAAAAAACACACCGUAUAGCAGUUUGAGAAGCUUGCGCGCGGAAUACGGUGGAGAUGGGUUGGGAACCCUGGAUUCCAAACACAGCCCAAGUCUAUCCAAAAUGUUUAGACAAGAAAAUACGUAACAAGUUGGUUUACAGAAAUACGAAUUAGAUCAAUCCUGCACUACAAGUAGAGUAAAGUGGUGAUUUCUCUUAAAUCUCUCGAAUGGUGAUUUAAGAAUUCAGUGCAAACCAAAUCCUUGCUAUAAUCAAAUGUUCGGUACCGCAUCAACGGAACAAUAAAAAGCGCCUGGCGUACCAUAAUUUUGUCAUUCUUGUUGAAAUUUGUAAUUUAAGAUGCAUGAGGCCACACGACCUUAAUGUUCAACGUGUCAUGCAUUAGUGAAAUAAUAGCUCACAAAACGCAACAAAUAUAGCUAGAUAACGGUUGCAAUCCUUACCAAACUAACGUAUAAAGUGAGCGAUGAGUCAUAUCAUUAUCUCCCGCCUGCUAACCAUCGUGUACACCAUCCGAUCCCAAAAAUGACAACUUCUAGGGAUGAACCUGGACAAGGUUUAGGGUUUAGGGAUGAAUCUGGACAAAUGAUUGUUCAGGUUCAUCCCUAGAUGUUGGUUUCUCCUGACGGGACGGAGGGAGUAUAUGUGAUGGACACAAAAGUUACUUUCAUGAUGAAACCAAAGGGGAUUUGUUGGGGCACCUAAUAGAACAUCUGUCCAAAUGGCAUGACUCACUUAUAUCCUAAUAGGACAUCCAAGAAAAACUAACACUCUAAAGCAACCGAUGAGGAAUUGAAAGAAAAUACGUGCCACCGCAUCUAUAAAUGGACAAGCGCAAUGGAAACCCUCCUCAUCGUUCACACAGUUCAAGCAUUAUACAGCAAAAUAGAAAGAUCUAGUGUCCCGCAGCAAUGAAGAUCAUUUUCGUCUUUGCUCUCCUUGCUAUUGCUGCAUGCAGCGCCUCUGCGCAGUUUGAUGUUUUAGGUCAAAGUUAUAGGCAAUAUCAGCUGCAGUCGCCUGUCCUGCUACAGCAACAGGUGCUUAGCCCAUAUAAUGAGUUCGUAAGGCAGCAGUAUGGCAUAGCGGCAAGCCCCUUCUUGCAAUCAGCUGCGUUUCAACUGAGAAACAACCAAGUCUGGCAACAGCUCGCGCUGGUGGCGCAACAAUCUCACUAUCAGGACAUUAACAUUGUUCAGGCCAUAGCGCAGCAGCUACAACUCCAGUAGUUUGGUGAUCUCUACUUUGAUCGGAAUCUGGCUCAAGCUCAAGCUCUGUUGGCUUUUAACGUGCCAUCUAGAUAUGGUAUCUACCCUAGGUACUAUGGUGCACCCAGUACCAUUACCACCCUUGGCGGUGUCUUGUAAUGAGUUUUAACAGUAUAGUGGUUCGGAAGUUAAAAAUAAGCUCAGAUAUCAUCAUAUGUGACAUGUGAAACUUUGGGUGAUAUAAAUAGAAAAAAAGUUGUCUUUCAUAUUUAAAUACCAUGCCUCUAUAAGGAUAUAUCCUAGUACGUUGUCGUGACUAAUUACCAUCAUCGGUACUCUACAAUUUUAUUGUGUGCUUACAUUCGAUCCGAAGCUACUUUGUUUUUAAGAUAGAAAUGGAGCGUAUAAAGGAUGUCCGUCCUUUUAUUCCAAUAAGAACAAACACAAAGCACAUAUGGAAAAUACUAAAUCCACUACAACAAAAUCAUAGACCAUACAAAGCAGGUAAAGAUGUAGCAAUCCACAUUGAUUCUUCAUCCACUACUACAACAAGCGCAUAUGAAAGGCCGCAUAUGCAUGAUCAUUGUGAAUAUGACAUGCCCUUGUCGAGCAAACGUGUCACUUCAUGCAAAUAUGUUAUUUCAAGCGACAUCAAUAUAUGGUUACAAAAUUUUAAACAUUGGUAUAUUAAUGACUUUCAUAUAUGCAUAUUAAUUUCAAUUGAAAGACAUCUUGUUGUCCAUCAUUCCUAACAAGAGGUAGUGUACAAGGCAUUAUUUAGUUGAGCUCUCGCUCACUUUGCAUCACAGAAGCAUAACCUAGACAUAGGUAAUUCAUUAUAGGAUCAAAAACUGCAGCAGCUACAAUGAGGGUAAAAACUAGAAAGAAGGAUUUAUUAUGUUCCUUAGUUUAUUCAGCCACGAAAGAGUGACUUAAAAAAAUGUACACUUCUUCCAAAGUGAAAAUUAUGGGAUGUCUUACUUAUGGAAUGCUCCUACACACUGAGGUUGUUCUUGCUGACCCCUCGUUUCUGUGACAAGUUUAUUAUAACAUACCAAGUCGAUAGUUUACUGCAAACAAAUUGGAUAAUAAACCUGAUGUUUCAACAAAACUACAGGAACUCACGCAUGAUGUACCCAAAGGUAACUGGUUCUUGACACACUACAAAUCUGUGGUAGUCCUUUUCCAUCUCGAAGACGAAUCAACGCUGUGUUUAGAAUCAGCUGUUCCCAACAUGCGAAUUGCGCACAGAAAACGGAGCGCUCCAUUAGAGCGUGAUUAAUUAAGUAUUAGCUUUUUUUUUUCAAAAAUGGGUCCAUAUGAUUUUUUGAAGCAACUUUUGUAUAGAAACCUUUUGCAAAAAACACACCGUAUAGCAGUUUGAGAAGCUUGCGCGCGGAAUACGAUGGAGAUGGGUUGGGAACCCUGGAUUCCAAACACAGCCCAAGUCUAUCCAAAAUGUUUAGACAAGAAAAUACGUAACAAGUUGGUUUACAGAAAUACGAAUUAGAUCAAUCCUGCACUACAAGUAGAGUAAAGUGGUGAUUUCUCUUAAAUCUCUCGAAUGGUGAUUUAAGAAUUCAGUGCAAACCAAAUCCUUGCUAUAAUCAAAUGUUCGGUACCGCAUCAACGGAACAAUAAAAAGCGCCUGGCGUACCAUAAUUUUGUCAUUCUUGUUGAAAUUUGUAAUUUAAGAUGCAUGAGGCCACACGACCUUAAUGUUCAACGUGUCAUGCAUUAGUGAAAUAAUAGCUCACAAAACGCAACAAAUAUAGCUAGAUAACGGUUGCAAUCCUUACCAAACUAACGUAUAAAGUGAGCGAUGAGUCAUAUCAUUAUCUCCCGCCUGCUAACCAUCGUGUACACCAUCCGAUCCCAAAAAUGACAACUUCUAGGGAUGAACCUGGACAAGGUUUAGGGUUUAGGGAUGAAUCUGGACAAAUGAUUGUUCAGGUUCAUCCCUAGAUGUUGGUUUCUCCUUACGGGAUGGAGGGAGUAUAUGUGAUGGACACAAAAGUUACUUUCAUGAUGAAACCAAAGGGGAUUUGUUGGGGCACCUAAUAGAACAUCUGUCCAAAUGGCAUGACUCACUUAUAUCCUAAUAGGACAUCCAAGAAAAACUAACACUCUAAAGCAACCGAUGAGGAAUUGAAAGAAAAUAUGUGCCACCGCAUCUAUAAAUGGACAAGCGCAAUGGAAACCCUCCUCAUCGUUCACACAGUUCAAGCAUUAUACAGCAAAAUAGAAAGAUCUAGUGUCCCGCAGCAAUGAAGAUCAUUUUCGUCUUUGCUCUCCUUGCUAUUGCUGCAUGCAGCGCCUCUGCGCAGUUUGAUGUUUUAGGUCAAAGUUAUAGGCAAUAUCAGCUGCAGUCGCCUGUCCUGCUACAGCAACAGGUGCUUAGCCCAUAUAAUGAGUUCGUAAGGCAGCAGUAUGGCAUAGCGGCAAGCCCCUUCUUGCAAUCAGCUGCGUUUCAACUGAGAAACAACCAAGUCUGGCAACAGCUCGCGCUGGUGGCGCAACAAUCUCACUAUCAGGACAUUAACAUUGUUCAGGCCAUAGCGCAGCAGCUACAACUCCAGCAGUUUGGUGAUCUCUACUUUGAUCGGAAUCUGGCUCAAGCUCAAGCUCUGUUGGCUUUUAACGUGCCAUCUAGAUAUGGUAUCUACCCUAGGUACUAUGGUGCACCCAGUACCAUUACCACCCUUGGCGGUGUCUUGUAAUGAGUUUUAACAGUAUAGUGGUUCGGAAGUUAAAAAUAAGCUCAGAUAUCAUCAUAUGUGACAUGUGAAACUUUGGGUGAUAUAAAUAGAAAAAAAGUUGUCUUUCAUAUUUAAAUACCAUGCCUCUAUAAGGAUAUAUCCUAGUACGUUGUCGUGACUAAUUACCAUCAUCGGUACUCUACAAUUUUACUGUGUGCUUACAUUCGAUCCGAAGCUACUUUGUUUUUUAGAUAGAAAUGGAGCGUAUAAAGGAUGUCCGUCCUUUUAUUCCAAUAAGAACAAACACAAAGCACAUAUGGAAAAUACUAAAUCCACUACAACAAAAUCAUAGACCAUACAAAGCAGGUAAAGAUGUAGCAAUCCACAUUGAUUCUUCAUCCACUACUACAACAAGCGCAUAUGAAAGGCCGCAUAUGCAUGAUCAUUGUGAAUAUGACAUGCCCUUGUCGAGCAAACGUGUCACUUCAUGCAAAUAUGUUAUUUCAAGCGACAUCAAUAUAUGGUUACAAAAUUUUAAACAUUGGUAUAUUAAUGACUUUCAUAUAUGCAUAUUAAUUUCAAUUGAAAGACAUCUUGUUGUCCAUCAUUCCUAACAAGAGGUAGUGUACAAGGCAUUAUUUAGUUGAGCUCUCGCUCACUUUGCAUCACAGAAGCAUAACCUAGACAUAGGUAAUUCAUUAUAGUAUCAAAAACUGCAGCAGCUACAAUGAGGGUAAAAACUAGAAAGAAGGAUUUAUUAUGUUCCUUAGUUUAUUCAGCCACGAAAGAGUGACUUAAAAAAAUGUACACUUCUUCCAAAGUGAAAAUUAUGGGAUGUCUUACUUAUGGAAUGCUCCUACACACUGAGGUUGUUCUUGCUGACCCCUCGUUUCUAUGAGAAGUUUAUUAUAACAUACCAAGUCGAUAGUUUACUGCAAACAAAUUGGAUAAUAAACCUGAUGUUUCAACAAAACUACAGGAACUCACGCAUGAUGUACCCAAAGGUAACUGGUUCUUGACACACUACAAAUCUGUGGUAGUCCUUUUCCAUCUCGAAGACGAAUCAACGCUGUGUUUAGAAUCAGCUGUUCCCAACAUGCGAAUUGCGCACAGAAAACGGAGCGCUCCAUUAGAGCGUGAUUAAUUAAGUAUUAGCUUUUUUUUUUCAAAAAUGGGUCCAUAUGAUUUUUUGAAGCAACUUUUGUAUAGAAACCUUUUGCAAAAAACACACCGUAUAGCAGUUUGAGAAGCUUGCGCGCGGAAUACGAUGGAGAUGGGUUGGGAACCCUGGAUUCCAAACACAGCCCAAGUCUAUCCAAAAUGUUUAGACAAGAAAAUACGUAACAAGUUGGUUUACAGAAAUACGAAUUAGAUCAAUCCUGCACUACAAGUAGAGUAAAGUGGUGAUUUCUCUUAAAUCUCUCGAAUGGUGAUUUAAGAAUUCAGUGCAAACCAAAUCCUUGCUAUAAUCAAAUGUUCGGUACCGCAUCAACGGAACAAUAAAAAGCGCCUGGCGUACCAUAAUUUUGUCAUUCUUGUUGAAAUUUGUAAUUUAAGAUGCAUGAGGCCACACGACCUUAAUGUUCAACGUGUCAUGCAUUAGUGAAAUAAUAGCUCACAAAACGCAACAAAUAUAGCUAGAUAACGGUUGCAAUCCUUACCAAACUAACGUAUAAAGUGAGCGAUGAGUCAUAUCAUUAUCUCCCGCCUGCUAACCAUCGUGUACACCAUCCGAUCCCAAAAAUGACAACUUCUAGGGAUGAACCUGGACAAGGUUUAGGGUUUAGGGAUGAAUCUGGACAAAUGAUUGUUCAGGUUCAUCCCUAGAUGUUGGUUUCUCCUUACGGGAUGGAGGGAGUAUAUGUGAUGGACACAAAAGUUACUUUCAUGAUGAAACCAAAGGGGAUUUGUUGGGGCACCUAAUAGAACAUCUGUCCAAAUGGCAUGACUCACUUAUAUCCUAAUAGGACAUCCAAGAAAAACUAACACUCUAAAGCAACCGAUGAGGAAUUGAAAGAAAAUAUGUGCCACCACAUCUAUAAAUGGACAAGCGCAAUGGAAACCCUCCUCAUCGUUCACACAGUUCAAGCAUUAUACAGCAAAAUAGAAAGAUCUAGUGUCCCGCAGCAAUGAAGAUCAUUUUCGUCUUUGCUCUCCUUGCUAUUGCUGCAUGCAGCGCCUCUGCGCAGUUUGAUGUUUUAGGUCAAAGUUAUAGGCAAUAUCAGCUGCAGUCGCCUGUCCUGCUACAGCAACAGGUGCUUAGCCCAUAUAAUGAGUUCGUAAGGCAGCAGUAUGGCAUAGCGGCAAGCCCCUUCUUGCAAUCAGCUGCGUUUCAACUGAGAAACAACCAAGUCUGGCAACAGCUCGCGCUGGUGGCGCAACAAUCUCACUAUCAGGACAUUAACAUUGUUCAGGCCAUAGCGCAGCAGCUACAACUCCAGCAGUUUGGUGAUCUCUACUUUGAUCGGAAUCUGGCUCAAGCUCAAGCUCUGUUGGCUUUUAACGUGCCAUCUAGAUAUGGUAUCUACCCUAGGUACUAUGGUGCACCCAGUACCAUUACCACCCUUGGCGGUGUCUUGUAAUGAGUUUUAACAGUAUAGUGGUUCGGAAGUUAAAAAUAAGCUCAGAUAUCAUCAUAUGUGACAUGUGAAACUUUGGGUGAUAUAAAUAGAAAAAAAGUUGUCUUUCAUAUUUAAAUACCAUGCCUCUAUAAGGAUAUAUCCUAGUACGUUGUCGUGACUAAUUACCAUCAUCGGUACUCUACAAUUUUACUGUGUGCUUACAUUCGAUCCGAAGCUACUUUGUUUUUAAGAUAGAAAUGGAGCGUAUAAAGGAUGUCCGUCCUUUUAUUCCAAUAAGAACAAACACAAAGCACAUAUGGAAAAUACUAAAUCCACUACAACAAAAUCAUAGACCAUACAAAGCAGGUAAAGAUGUAGCAAUCCACAUUGAUUCUUCAUCCACUACUACAACAAGCGCAUAUGAAAAGCCGCAUAUGCAUGAUCAUUGUGAAUAUGACAUGCCCUUGUCGAGCAAACGUGUCACUUCAUGCAAAUAUGUUAUUUCAAGAGACAUCAAUAUAUGGUUACAAAAUUUUAAACAUUGGUAUAUUAAUGACUUUCAUAUAUGCAUAUUAAUUUCAAUUGAAAGACAUCUUGUUGUCCAUCAUUCCUAACAAGAGGUAGUGUACAAGGCAUUAUUUAGUUGAGCUCUCGCUCACUUUGCAUCACAGAAGCAUAACCUAGACAUAGGUAAUUCAUGAUAGGAUCAAAAACUGCAGCAGCUACAAUGAGGGUAAAAACUAGAAAGAAGGAUUUAUUAUGUUCCUUAGUUUAUUCAGCCACGAAAGAGUGACUUAAAAAAAUGUACACUUCUUCCAAAGUGAAAAUUAUGGGAUGUCUUACUUAUGGAAUGCUCCUACACACUGAGGUUGUUCUUGCUGACCCCUCGUUUCUGUGACAAGUUUAUUAUAACAUACCAAGUCGAUAGUUUACUGCAAACAAAAUGGAUAAUAAACCUGAUGUUUCAACAAAACUACAGGAACUCACGCAUGAUGUACCCAAAGGUAACUGGUUCUUGACACACUACAAAUCUGUGGUAGUCCUUUUCCAUCUCGAAGACGAAUCAACGCUGUGUUUAGAAUCAGCUGUUCCCAACAUGCGAAUUGCGCACAGAAAACGGAGCGCUCCAUUAGAGCGUGAUUAAUUAAGUAUUAGCUUUUUUUUUUCAAAAAUGGGUCCAUAUGAUUUUUUGAAGCAACUUUUGUAUAGAAACCUUUUGCAAAAAACACACCGUAUAGCAGUUUGAGAAGCUUGCGCGCGGAAUACGAUGGAGAUGGGUUGGGAACCCUGGAUUCCAAACACAGCCCAAGUCUAUCCAAAAUGUUUAGACAAGAAAAUACGUAACAAGUUGGUUUACAGAAAUACGAAUUAGAUCAAUCCUGCACUACAAGUAGAGUAAAGUGGUGAUUUCUCUUAAAUCUCUCGAAUGGUGAUUUAAGAAUUCAGUGCAAACCAAAUCCUUGCUAUAAUCAAAUGUUCGGUACCGCAUCAACGGAACAAUAAAAAGCGCCUGGCGUACCAUAAUUUUGUCAUUCUUGUUGAAAUUUGUAAUUUAAGAUGCAUGAGGCCACACGACCUUAAUGUUCAACGUGUCAUGCAUUAGUGAAAUAAUAGCUCACAAAACGCAACAAAUAUAGCUAGAUAACGGUUGCAAUCCUUACCAAACUAACGUAUAAAGUGAGCGAUGAGUCAUAUCAUUAUCUCCCGCCUGCUAACCAUCGUGUACACCAUCCGAUCCCAAAAAUGACAACUUCUAGGGAUGAACCUGGACAAGGUUUAGGGUUUAGGGAUGAAUCUGGACAAAUGAUUGUUCAGGUUCAUCCCUAGAUGUUGGUUUCUCCUUACGGGAUGGAGGGAGUAUAUGUGAUGGACACAAAAGUUACUUUCAUGAUGAAACCAAAGGGGAUUUGUUGGGGCACCUAAUAGAACAUCUGUCCAAAUGGCAUGACUCACUUAUAUCCUAAUAGGACAUCCAAGAAAAACUAACACUCUAAAGCAACCGAUGAGGAAUUGAAAGAAAAUACGUGCCACCGCAUCUAUAAAUGGACAAGCGCAAUGGAAACCCUCCUCAUCGUUCACACAGUUCAAGCAUUAUACAGCAAAAUAGAAAGAUCUAGUGUCCCGCAGCAAUGAAGAUCAUUUUCGUCUUUGCUCUCCUUGCUAUUGCUGCAUGCAGCGCCUCUGCGCAGUUUGAUGUUUUAGGUCAAAGUUAUAGGCAAUAUCAGCUGCAGUCGCCUGUCCUGCUACAGCAACAGGUGCUUAGCCCAUAUAAUGAGUUCGUAAGGCAGCAGUAUGGCAUAGCGGCAAGCCCCUUCUUGCAAUCAGCUGCGUUUCAACUGAGAAACAACCAAGUCUGGCAACAGCUCGCGCUGGUGGCGCAACAAUCUCACUAUCAGGACAUUAACAUUGUUCAGGCCAUAGCGCAGCAGCUACAACUCCAGCAGUUUGGUGAUCUCUACUUUGAUCGGAAUCUGGCUCAAGCUCAAGCUCUGUUGGCUUUUAACGUGCCAUCUAGAUAUGGUAUCUACCCUAGGUACUAUGGUGCACCCAGUACCAUUACCACCCUUGGCGGUGUCUUGUAAUGAGUUUUAACAGUAUAGUGGUUCGGAAGUUAAAAAUAAGCUCAUAUAUCAUCAUAUGUGACAUGUGAAACUUUGGGUGAUAUAAAUAGAAAAAAAGUUGUCUUUCAUAUUUAAAUACCAUGCCUCUAUAAGGAUAUA